GACUUUAAAAUUUCAAAGCGUCAUUUUUCUCACAAAUUUUGUUAAUUUACUAUAUAUAAUUCUUGCAAUUAUAAUUUUAUUAAAAUAAAUAAUUAAUUUAAAUUUUAAAGUCAAAAUAUCAUCCACCAAUUCAAAUCAAACAAAUCGGAAGAUUUGAUAAUAAGAUUAUAAUUUCGCAAAGAUGAAUAACUGAAUCAAAAUGUUCUAUAGUUCAGAUAAGUUCUUUAGAAAAGGUAAAAAGAAGGCUCACCUUUGUGAUCAUUUGGAGCGAGUGAUCUAGUCGCUGUCGCUGCUGCUGCUGCUAUGGCCGUCGCCGUGCUUCUUCUCCUUCUUAUCCUUCUUCUUCUUCUUAUCCUUCUUCUCCCCGUGCUCUUCGCCGUGGGUCUUGUCCUUGACCUUCUCAACAGGCCCUCCUGCAUGGUGCUUCUCCCCUUCCUUCUUGUGCUCCUCCGCCUUGGCGUGCUCUUGCUUGUGCUUCUCCUCCUCUUUUUUGUGCUCUCCCCCUCCCCCCAUGUGGAGCUUCUCCUCAAUCUUGUGAAUUAUACCCGACAUUUUCCCAACUCUCUCUCUCUCUCUCUCUCUCUUCUAUUCUAAUGCAAUGCCAAUGUGGUAUGGUAUAGAACGUGUACUGUGAUGGCCUGAUUCAUUCCCUUCCCCCUCUCUAUUUAUAGGCGGAGCCACCGAGCGAGAGCAUUUACUAAGCAGUGCACGUUGGCACGGCUACGCGGCGUCAUUUCAUUGGCUCCGUCGAUCGUUCGGCCGUGUAAUCGGGAUCGCCUCGAUAAGCGGGUCGAAGCCGCUGGGGUUGCCGUGGAGUGCCCAGAACCGUUGAGAAUCCGCCACGUGGGUGGGGAGGCGGAUCCGACGAUUUGGUCGGCGAGGGCGUUGUGAUUGACGUUGGUUCCGUGUAUCGAAUAUCGAUGUGAUCUGAUCAUGAUAAGAGCGAUGAGAUUUUUUUUUUUUGCAUUAUUCCCUCCACCGAGUGCGUAAAAUUUUUCCGUGUACCACACACACCUUAGUUAAAAUCUAAUCAUAUUUAUUCUAUAAAGUGUAUAGGGUUUUUAAAUUUAUUACAUUUUAAGUUUAAAAAUCUAAUUAUUCUUUUUAAUUAAAAUUUUAUAUCUAGUGACAUCAGGAAGUGUCGAUAAUUGCUACACAAGUGAAAUGGAAACUACUGCGUCAAAAUCAAACUUUCAAUUGCUGCCGUGAAUCAACGGUGAGAAUAAUGGACUAAUACCGACCGUUCCUAGAGCAAGUGGCAAAGGAUUUGGUGGUUGGUACCCGAGACCCAAAUUCGAAUCCUAGUUGAUUCAUAUUUUUUGCCAAAUUUAUUUCGAAAUGAAAUAAACGAAACGGGUAGCGUGCUACCUAUUUCUUAAAAAAAAAAAAGAAAAAAAAAAUAACGGACUAAUGCAUUUUGGACGGAUGGGAUUUUUUGGAUUUUUGGAUUUGUGUGCGUGUGUGUGUGUGUGUGUGUGUGUGGUGUAAAAUGAGGUCUGCUCAUCUUUACGAGGGAAAAAGAAGUAGCGUGGUGAGAGAAAAAGAAAAGAGAAUCAGAUGCCAUGUUUAUAAAUAAUAAAUAAAUAAUAAUAAAUGUUUACUAGUGUCGGCAAACCUGAUGGCCACGUGUCUGGAUCUGAGUGGCUGUUCCUGCUAUUGUCUGUUUGAGGCCUUUUAUUUUAUCAUAAUGCUACUCUGAUACGGCAGGUACGGACCACGUCGUGCGCAUGUGAACGAUGGAUAAGGCUCAACUUGGUUGAAUAAUAAUAAUAUAUAAGCCUAAAUUACACCCUUGGUACUCAAAAAUUAUAAUAGAGUAUUUGAAAGCAUGGCUAAAUUUUAAUUUGUAUUAAUUUUAAUUUCUGAAUAUUUUAAAUUAUUUUAAUUAAAUUUUAUUAAUUUGUCGUCAACACGAAAGUAAUGUAGCUAUAUUGUGGCCGAUGAUGUGAUAAUAUUAAUUAAAAUAUUGCAUUAUUUUUAUAUCAGCGAUACGUUAAUAUUUAGUCUUAAAUUGAGUUAUGAACCUGAUUACAAUAAUUUACAAUAUUUGAAUUAGAAAUUAUAAUAAAUAAAAGUUGUGAGGACCAAAAGCUUUAUUUACCCAUAGUAUAAAAGAAAAAAAAAAAAAAGUACAUAGGCCUCCUUCAAUCUCAACUUCAACUAUUUUUUAUAAACCGUCCAAUUUUCGGUGUUUCACAAUUAUUAAAUUUUAUCAAAUAGUUUAAUAAAUUAUAGUUUAUUUUUUAAAAAAAUAAAAUUUUAAAAAUAUUUUAGAAUUAUUCUUGUGCAAUGUACGGUUUGACGACCAGUAACUAUGUUUCAACUAAGAAAAUAGAUUGAUUGACUCUUAUAAAAUUUGGACAUAUUUAUUGUUAAAAGAGAUAGGAUACUGGUUAAAUGGUAUAAUUUAAGUACUGAUUAAGCCUGAUGUAUUUUAUUUGUCCACAAGAAAUUUCACUUCUCUUAAUGUUGCUUUUUAUUCAUUUAAAAAAAAAUUAGAUGUUAUAUUUUUAGUUAUUUGAUUUGAUUUAAUAAAUGUAGUGGGUUAAGUUCUAGACCCACGAUAGAGGGUUGACUAUGUCGACAUUGUUUAUUUUGAGAUGCAUAGCACGUCUCACAUUAAUCUUAGCAAUCAUUUUGUACAAUUUAAAUUAUUGCAUUUGUUCUGUAAAUAACAAUAUCAUAUCACAUAUCCUGUUUGAAUAUACUGUUCUUUUUUUUUUUUAAAUUCAACAUACAUGUCAAAAUCAUGUACACCUUUUGGGAAAUUUGUAAUGAAACAAAUAUUUGAAAUGAUUUUUUCAACGCAAAGGAAUGGUAGAGAAAAAAUAACGCUUUGAAUGUGAAUCUCAAAUAUAUUUUAGAUUAACAAUUGAGAUAUUUUCUAUUUACAAUGACGGUGUUAUCUAAACAAGUCGAUCGAUCUAAUAGGAAAAGGUUUAGGAAUCAUAAAGAAAAUUAAAUGUUAUGUUAAAAAUUAUUAAGUUUUAUUUACUUGAUAAAUAAUGAUAGCAUAAGUUAUAACACUAAUAUUGAAAUCCUAAAAAAUUAUAUUAGAAAUAAAAAGUUCAAAGAAUUGGGUUAGCCCAUAAUCUAGCCCGGUCUAGGACGGGCCGGAUGCGGAUACAUGCCGGGCUGGUCCAGGCCCGUUCGGUUUUGGCCCGGACAUGGUGGACUGGGUCCAGGCAAUAAUUUCUCCCACUGGGGUCCAUGGCGCACGGUUACACACUAAUGCAUUCGAUGAUUUAUUUUCAUUUGUGAGGAUGUGAUUAAAAGCUUUUGCUUUCCCUUUUUUUUUUACUUUUUCUUCUGUGAGUAUAAGUUGGACCCUAGACCUGUAACACACCAUUUAGGAGUUACUAAUUAUCUGCGCCACACAUAUACAAGUUGAUCGAAGAUGUUGAGGAUCAAUGCAGAUUCUUCCAUUGCAGCUCAACAAAACACAUCAAGAAAUAGGCAAGCAUGCAGCAGAUUCAUUUCUCUAAAUGAAGAGAAAUGUUUAGUCUUGUUUUUAGUUUAGGGAAGUCCCCAACAAUUAUUGGACGCAAUCAAUUAGUCUUGCAAAGACCAUCUCAAUUUAGCCUUUUUUUUUUUAAUAAUUUUCUAGUAAUUCUCAAACAAUAGCCCAUUUUGAAAUAGGCACUGGAGCUCAUCAGUUUGUCACAUUCCAUGCAAGCCACAACAUCUAAUCAAAUGUCUCCAUAUUACAAACAAACGCGCGAGAAACUUUUUGUUAAAACAUCAUUUCAAUACGAGGUAACCAUAUUAUCCUGGUUAGACCUUUUCAACAUCUCACAUUGUAUAAUAUGAGACGAUGAAAUAUAGACUCCAAUACAACUACUGAUCCAGAAUAUCAUAAAAUAUUCAAAUUCAAGAACUUUGAAACAUCUCAGCGCUAUCCAUAACAUUGCCAUGAUCAAAGAAUCAGACAACAUGCAUACAAAGAACUACUCACAUGUCAAGAGUUCUAGUAACCGCAGAAUGCUGAUAUACUUGAGGUCACUUAAGUUUGAAAAAAGACCUACAUAAGAAGCUGAAAUAGACCGAAACCGAAAGUACCAUAAGAGCAACAAAAUCCUCCACAGCUGAAUCCUCUAAUGCUGCUACGAGACAGAUGCCUGGAAACACAGAUCAAUGAUUUAGUCAAUGAAAAGUCAUAUUAAUAGUUAUCAGUUCACGGCUCACUGUUUAAACCAGUGGUUUAAAGACUACACCAUGACUAAUCUUACUGGUAAUAAAAGAAUGAAGUGCAAGAGAACUAAGUGUUAGGCCAAAACAAGAGAGUGCAUUUUUGACCUGAAGCAUUAUCACUUGAGUCUAUUAUUUUUCAACAGUUUGAUAAAAGAUCUAGGCAUAAAGAAGAAAACCAGCUGGUCCAAUCAAAACUGAAGCAGCUUACCGGUUCACCAGUUUGAAUGGAUUGAUGUGUUUUUUGGAACUUUUCAUUUUAUGGAUUAACCCUAACUGUCCUAGGCAUGGUUUAAUCAGCCAGUUCAAAUGGUUUUUAGAACGUAGGUACAACCCCACAGGACCUCUAAACCCAUUUCACAAGAUCCCAUAUCAGUUAACAUGUGAAAAGUUACAGAUACCAUAAAAUCAAAAGAAAUUUGACACAACAUGCAAACACCUCAAAGCUUAAACAGAAUGCUUUAAAAAAAAUAAAAAAAUAAAAAAAAAAAAUCUUAAGACUACACAGUACUGAAUAGCAAAAUAUGCAAGUGCACCCAAUUAUCGAACAAUAACCCACUUUAGGUUUACAGUUUUCAGCUUAAUGAGGUUGCUAAAAGAACUAUCAUACAGGAUUGUUGUAAUAUUUCAUUGUCCAAAAGCCAUUUCAGAGAAAUACACUAAUCAUUGCGCCUAAACAAGAAAAACUUCUUCAUGAUUUCGACUUUAUCAUAUUGAGAGACAUCAUUAAGGCUAUGAUUGUGUAUAUUGUAAUCUAUAUCUCAACAUAAACCCUUCAGAAUUAAGAUGAAAUGACAGCUUACAUACUAUCGACCUGAGCAAUUAUAGGUCAAUAUAAAGGAAUAAACAAAUUCAAACAUAUAACUAUCACAUGCUGAAUCUAUUCUUUAGAUAUACAAUAUGACAAAGAUGAUCCUUCUUCUAGCAUCUACCAUGGUGAGAAGCCAUCGCUAUUGAAAAUGCAAGUAUGCAUUUGAACUAAGUAGGAUCGCCUUCAUCUGACUGGUUAUUUCAUUGUACCCAAGUUGAGGAAAAUUAUUUGCAUUGAAAGUAUUUUUCUCCUUUAUUGAUAGGAUGAACCUUAUACCAAAUUUAACCCAAGGUUUAAACCUCUUGGUUGGCCACAAACACAACUGCCUCUGCCCAAGUUCAACCCACACCUAGGUUAUAAAUCAAGGAAUAGGUCAGUAUGUAGCCACAUAGCCUUACUAAAAUAUUGUUCGAACGAGGCAAAACUUCAAAUUCUUCCUACUUAAUUCUUUUGCAGCGGAAUGGAACCUAGGUUGACGAAAAUCAGGCCCUUUGCGUCAAAGUUAUAUGAUCUGGAGCACUGAGAUGCCUAGACCACUUCACCACUUUUGGAUUUUGACACCCUAAUUAACUUCUAAUUUUUAUAUAGAGAAAUUCCUAAAAAGCUGCUCCACAGCUCCAAAGAUGUAUAGGCCAGAACUACAGCGUACCUACUAGAUUGCUUAAAGAUUUUACAUCAGAUCUGAUGGAAAUAAAAGGAACUUCAGCAAGCUAAAAAGAAGCAAACACAAGGAAAGAUAAAUGUAACAUAUAGUAGUUAAGGACGACGGAGAUUAUGAUAUGAAGUUAGGGUUAAACGAGUCGAUAGAAACUGCUUCAAUCGGUUUAACGUCAAGCAACUGACAAAAAAUAAAACACGUACUUAGGCCAGUAAAAUGCCUCUACUAUGUUUUAACAGAACAACUACAUACUAGCAUCUAAAAGAGCAAUAGGAAGGUAGUAGUCACAAGAAGCGGUGGAUCUUGGCAUUAAUGUUAUUGAGAGGUGGAGGAACCAUAAGGAAGAAGAAGGUUGAUGCCAAGCGAUUACAAAAAACAGAGGGUCAUUCCAUUUCACCUCGGCACUGAGGUUAAUUUCCAAUUAUUAUAGGAUUGAAUUCAGUUUUGAAAGAUUUGUUAAACUGCUUUCCUCUGGAAUGAGACUCAUUUAGGAUGACUUCUCCACACCGGACUGCAAGUACAGGCAUCGAUUUCUUCCGACUACCGUUUCGUGAUCCAAAUCCGUCCAACAACAUUAAAAUUUUCGAUUUAAACACCGAGAGCUAAAAAUAAACUAGGUUCGUCUUUCACAUCCUAUAUAUAUACCCCAUUUCUAAAAAUUCGCAAGCAAGCAAAUCAUCAUGCAUGAUCAAGAAAAUGUACCACUCUGAAGACACACAGGGAUGGGCGAAAUACCGGAGAUCUACUGCUGCUGAUUCUGGCCGGGCUGCUGGGGAUUCGGCGGCGGCGGCGGCAUCCCCGGCCUCGGCGGGGCGAACAUGGGCACGCCUGCGCCGGGCGGGGGCGGCAUCCCGGGCCUGGGCGGGGGCGGCAUCCCGGGCCUGGGCGCGGGCGGCGGCGGGCCCCUCAUCAUCUGCGGGGGAGGGCCCAUGGGCCGCUGGCCGAACUGGGGCGGCGGGCCGGGGAACUGCGGGGGCGGGCCGCCGGGCCUGGGGGCGAACUGCAUGGACAUGGGCGGCGGGGGGCCGCGGCCGACGGGGGGCUGGGGCUGGCCGGGGUAGCCGGGGGGCGGGGGCCGCACGACCUGCGGGUAGGCGACGGGCGGGGCGGAGAGCUGGGGCACGGGGGGGCGGGAGAUCUGGGGCUGCAUCAUGCCCGGGGCGGGGCCGCCGACGCCGCGGACGGGGCCGGCGAGGCCGGGCUGGGCCUGGACGAGGGGGGCGGCGGGGACGCCGCGGCCGNCCUUGGCGCGGGAGUCGUCGGGGGGAGGGGGGCCCUCGACCGUCAUGGAGACGACCUCCUCGCCGCGGAGGAGGACGAGGCCAAGGGUGCGGCGCUCCUCGCGCUCCUCGCCGGCCUUCUUCGCGCCCUUCACGGGGGGCAGCCUCCGGAACUCCUCGCAGUCGCCGAGCACCAGGUUCAUGUGCCGGUCGAAGGCCAUGAACUUGCCCACCAGCUGCCGCCCGUCCUGGAUCGUCACGCGCAUGCGGUAGUUGAUGAACUGCAGCAUCUUCGACCCCUUCGACAUCGACAUGGUCGCCGCGCUCGCUACAAUUUCCCUCCCUCCCCGGACACCAGGGCUUAGGGUUAGGGUUAGGGUUUAGGAGGUAUUGUUGGGAGUGCGGAGGUAGAAGAGAAGAAGAAGAAGAGGCGGGGGAAAGGGUUUUUCUUUUCUAACCCGAGCCGAGAGCGGGUUUGAGCCUUUUAUUGGGUUCGGGUUACGGGUGAGACUAGCCUGGCCCCGGCCCCGGCCCCGGCCCGGGGUUUGUUCAAUGAGUUUAUUUUAAAAAUUACAAAUUUAUGUAAUAAUUUAUUUUUAAUUUUUAAUUUUUAGUAUUUUAAAUUACAAUUUUAUGUAAUAAUUUAUUUUUUUUUUUAGGAGUUAUCACGUAGAAAUUAAAAUUUUAAACUCCAUUUGGUUUCGAAAAAAAAUUAGGAAUAAUAAAAAUUAUACACGAUAUUCCACGAAACCAAAAAUAAAUUUAUUUUAAAAUUUUAAUUUUCUAAAUCAAUAAUCAUAAAUUAUAGACCAUAUAAAUCUUAAAUCAUAACAUAUAUAUUAACAUAUUAAAUUACAAUUUUAAAAAAUUAAAAAAAUUACAAUUAUGGUGCACCUGGUAUAGAUGCACCAGGUGCACCCAGAAAUUCCACUGCUUUCCCCAUUGGGAGAGCAGUGGGGCGCCUGUGCCAUCCGGCGCCCAUCGGGGAGUAGCCCCAAACUAAGUAAUGUGGGGCUAGUGCCCAUAUAAUUUUUGUCCAGUUGUAACGUGGGGAUAUUCCAGGCGCUAUCCGUACAUUUUUCACCCCCUUUUACUCCGCUAUCCAAAUCCCCCGCACGCUUCGCGGCUCCUCCCAUGGCUUCCCUAUCCUUUCCCGCCAUCUCCGUCCCCACCUCCGUUCGCCGCGGCCUCGCCCCAACCCAAACCGCCCGGUCCGGCCCGACCGCCAGAUCGGCCGGUCCGGGUACCGGUCGACGCCGUCUCGGCUCGGUUUUUUCCUCCGGUGCGAAUUUAGCGCGUCCGAGCCCGAUCCUGAGUCGAAUCGGAGAGGAAUCUUUCGACAAAAGGGAACCCAUGGUUCCCCCUUUUAAUGUCCUCAUCACUGGUUCCACUAAAGGUCCCAAUCCCAAAUUUACUUUAUUAUUAUUAUUAUUAUUAUUAUUUACUUUUCUCUUAUUUCAACUUUUAUUUAGCUUUGCUAUGCAUUUUCCAUACCUUAAUGCUAUUUUUUUUUCCCCUAAAUUUUCUCUUUAGCUCUGAUCUGUUUCUGCGUUCUACGUGCAGGUUUAGGGUUUGCACUUGCCAGAGAGUUUCUGAAGGCGGGGGAUAACGUUGUAAUCUGCUCAAGAUCAGGCAUAUUACUAUUGCUUUUUGUCGUUGUUACUUCGAACAUCGAUUUUGUUGCUAUACGACAUGCUAAUGGAGGCGGUGGUCACUUAGAAUUUAAAGCUGCAGUUUGAAGAAAAGUAUUCUGAGAUGCUGCUUAUUUUUUUUGCAGCUGAGCGCGUGGAAUCAGCCGUUCAGAACUUAAGAAACGAGUUUGGAGAGCAGCAUGUGUGGGUAUCUACUGCAUAGCUGCUUUUUUUCUUUUUUUUUUUCGUUUUUGGUUCUUUCCCAAGCUUGUAGAAUCUGGAGUUGCCUAUAUACUUAUCGAACAAAGGUACCUUAAGAUUGUGAGUCAUCUAAUUCGCAGGGCGAGGAUGCUUAAAUUUUGUGCUUCCUCAUCCCUGAAUUAAGUAUUUUGAGGGGAUAUAUGUGAAAAUUCAGAUUUUGCAGCGGCUUAGAUGUAGAUGUCUAUACAUCUUUUCGUUUGGUGCUUUGAACAGUUCUUAAGGGAUGGUUAUUUUUCACUGCAGGGAACUGUGUGUGAUGUCAGGAAAGGAGAGGAUGUAAAGGAACUAGUUAAUUUUGCACGUGACCGGCUGAAAUACAUAGAUAUAUGGGUAUAAUAUAAACCGCCCUGUUAAUGCCGUUCUAUAUGUUUAUUGGAAUUCUCCAUGUAACUUCUCGGAAAAAUACCACUAGGUCGAAUGGAGACUUGGUUCUCUGGUGCUAACCACCAUGCUUUAAUCAACAACGUUGUCCAUUCAGUAAGCAGAUAGAUUCAUGCUUGAUGCGAAGUUAGAAACACUUACUGUAUUUCCUUAACAAAUGAAACAGAUCAACAAUGCUGGAUCAAAUGCGUACAGUUACAAACCGUUGGUUGAGACUUCUGAUCAAGAUCUCAUGUGAGCUUUCACUUGCAUAGUCACCUGGCUGUCUCAAUCCUCCAGUUAGUCGCUACGUGCUUCCGAUCUUUAACUUGUUUAUUUACUAUUUUAUGAAGGGAAGUUGUUACCACAAACACUCUUGGGUUGAUGAUUUGUUGCCGUGAGGUAAUGUUUGUUUGUAACUUGUUCUUCGAACAGUGAAAGCAACUCGAAAAGUAUGUUCUUGCUUCUACUUUUGAUUUCUCUAUGUAACUUUGUAGGCAAUAAACAUGAUGCUAAACCAGCCUCGAGGUGGUCAUAUAUUUAACAUUGAUGGUGCUGGUUCUGAUGGAAGGCCGACCCCUAGGUGUGUUUCGCAGACAUUUAGUUGUUACUGGUAUUAAGACAGAGUUAGAACUUAGAAAUAUGUGGUUAAUAUUGGUACUGAUAGGCUUAAAGAACAAAUAUGUUUCCCUUGAAUUUAGUACGUAUAGAUCUGUUGUUCAGAAUAGUGUUAAGCACGAGCUGCUCGCUUGGUUCCUCAUCGAGUACAAAUGCUAGAUGUGCAGUUUCUAACUUUAUUUUUUCUUUCUUUUAUCUUUCUUUUUGCUAAUGGAAUCAUGACAUGAUCGUUCCACAGAUUUGCUGCAUAUGGUGCAACAAAGCGUAGUGUAGUGCACCUCACUAAAUCUCUACAGGUAGACAUGGAGAGGAAUAAGCAUUGUGUAACAUUGUUAUCUGAUCAUCAUUUUGGUGCUUACUAGGAGUUUGACAGACGUAUAUGAUCUGUUCAAAUUUCAGGCAGAACUGCAGAUGAAUGAAGUAAAGAAUGUUAUGGUGCAUAACUUAUCGGUAUUUGACCUAUUUUUGUUGUUCUUUUGGAGUUCAUUUGUUAUUUAAAGAUUCUCGCGUACAUGCAUUUUUCGAUGAUGAGAUUUCUUUUUUGCCUGAUUAAUAUUUUACAAUUCUUUAAUACAUGCUUUGUCCCCAUGCAUUUUGAUUUUGAUAUAUAUAUAUAUAUUUUUGUCCAUUGCAGCCUGGGAUGGUAACGACGGAUCUUCUUAUGUCUGGGGCCACCACAAAACAAGUAUACAAUCAGUUCGAUAUCUCCUAUUCCGUAUUAUGAAAGAACCAGUGCUUCUUAAUGAUAAUGUAAUGCUGAAUUUGCAGGCCAAGUUUUUCAUUAAUAUCUUAGCUGAACCGCCUGAGGUGGUAAGAAUUUCAACACCCUUUAUUUAAAAAUUUUAUGAUGCCGAAUUGGGUACUUUCCAUUUCUCGGAGCCAUGUUAAGAAGUUACUUCUAGCUUGUGGAAACUUAUGCUGAUGAAAUUGAUUAAUGGUAAUAAUAUCAUAUGUAUGUUCAACAAUUUCUUCAUACUAGUUGAUUGCCCUAUGCAUAUCCAACAAUUUCUCCAUGCUGGUGCCUCUUUCCUUGUCAAUUGAUCAACAUUAAUUAUAUUUCGCAUGGAAGAUUUAAGUUCCUUGUUGUCCUGUGUUAUGCUCGCAAAUGGUAAUCUAAUUGGCACUUUUAGACAGCAUGGUAUUUCAAAUUGUAUAGUGUCAUUUUGGAAGCUCUCCAUCUUCUAGAGAACUUUCAUAUCUUCUAAUUAAUGUUUUCUUAUGAAAAAUAUUUUGAACAUUAAUUCUUCCUAUUAAACAUCUGAACGAUCUGCACUUCUGCUUAGAACAGCCAGAAGAAGAUAUUUAGUGGGAAGUUCAUCAUCUUGUGAUUGUAUUCGCAAAUUGAAAUAAGCUUUGACCCUAUACAGCUAAUUUGAUUUUUAUGGAAAAAGUAGAUUCAGUGUGUAUGAUGGAUGAAAUGGUUAUGUUUUUUUUUCUUAUAUUGUAUAUCUAUAGAUUGUGGACAAGCUAUGUAUGUACUUCACUUAUUGUUACUUCCUGUAGGUUGCCGAGUACCUUGUUCGAUGCAUCAGAUCAGUUCCCAGCAGCAGAUCCAUGAAGCCAACCUACAUUCGCUUCCUCACAGGCUUGAAAGCGUACUCCCAAAUAUUUUCAGUUAAGAAACCCACAUAAUACUUCAGCUUCUACUACUUAUGAUAAUGUUUCGGUAAAAUGUGCGAGCAAAUCUAAUAAUUGCCUUUUUCUUUUCCUUCUUGGCAUCUAGAGACUUGCUUUUGGCGCCCGACGAAACAGAUAUCUUGUAGAAGAUUGAAGGAUUUCUAUAACUCACUGAGUCAGCGCACUAUUUGUUUUCAAUUUUCGCUUCUCUGAUGCAUGACUAAAUUAUUCACUUAACUUUCAUAUACGGCUCGUCGAUUGUUUUUUGUAUAUAGAUUCUCCAUUAAUGGGCUUUAGUUUGGUCUUUACUCCCUUCCUAGGGCAUGAAGCAUGCGACAGCAUAUCUCGAUGAUUCUUUAGUUAGACUAAGGAAAAAGCCGUACAACUUGCGUACUGUCGAUACAAAACUGGUGUACAGUAUAAGAUGUUUUUAUUGCUAUUGUUUGUGGGCAUUAUAGUAUCUUAUUAUUGAGGAGAAUGCCUUGAAACUGUUUCUGAUAAACUGUAUGCAACUUAAUUAAUUUGUGGGUGGGGAUUCUUUUGUCAUAUGCUUUGAAACAACUGCUUUAGGGCCUGUUUGUUUGGGUGAAAGUGAAGAGAGGUGAAGUCGUUUUCGGCCAUAAACGAUUACUGCCAUUGUUUGUUUCGCCGUAAUAAAAAUACAGUUGAAACUCGAGUUACUCGGAACUGUGUAAUUGACAUUGAUCCACCAUGAGCCGAAGUCAGUUACAAUGAAGAGAGGUGAAGAAAAAAAUAAUAAAAUAAUAUAAUGAGUAAUUCUAGUUAUAUUUAAAUAUAGAACUAAGCUGGAAUACUAUUAAUAGCACCAAUGACUUGGUGCUAUUAAGUUUUCCGCCCUUGGAUUAAAAGAUGUGCGGUUAGGAUGAUGUGGACCUCCUAGGGUUGAGUGGGUGGUUGGUUGAAUAGUAUAAUCUAACGUGUAAAAAUAAUCAAAUGGGUUAAUCUAACGGCAGAAAAUUUGAUAGCACCAAGUGCUUGGUGCUAUCGAUAGCAUAGCGGCCGGACUUUUUAAAUAUCUAUUAACAUAUAUGAUUUCGUAAUAAUUUUGUCACGUGGUAAUUUUUCUUUUACCCUCAUUAAAAUCUUUGCACUUCUUUAUUUUUUGUAACCGUUUUUUCUUUUAGGAUGCUCUUAUAAGUGUCAAUGAGUGAAAGUUAUGAUAAACAUUUAAGUGACAACAGUUAUAAUUAUUUAUUGGUCUUAAGUAAUAUACAAAUACACUUUUAAAAAAUUUAAAAAUCAUCCGUGCUAAUUCAUAUGACUUUAUAUUUGUCAACAAAAUAUUAUAAUUUUAAUUUCAUUUUUCUCAUUUCCUGUGAAUUUGUGAUCAAGUAUAAAAUAUUGGUAUUAACACAAAAUCAUUACUCUAAGCUAUUAAAACAUAUUAGAACUAAAUAAUUAAUUUGCUUAUUUUCUUUUCAAUUAAUAUUAUAAUUCUUUUUAUUAGCAAAUAUCAACUUUUUGCCUUUUUGUAUUCUAGAGUUUGUUCAGCUAUUUGAAACAAAUUAUUCUGUUGCAUAUCAUUAGGACAAGUUAAUAUAAUUUAUACAUUAUAUUUUAAUAUUCAAAUAAUCUGUACAUUAUACUUCAAUAUUAAAAAUUAUAAAAUACAAAUUUAAUCAUGAAAUUUUGACAAAACAGAGGGCAUAGUUUUAGCUUUAUUAAACACUUAUAUAUGUCAUGUUUUUUCCUAUAUUUUUACUAUUCCAUUUAAAUUAAUUUUAUAUUGUAUUAGAAGAUAAUAUUAAGUCUAAAUAAGCACUCUCAAUAACCAUUAUAGUUCUAAUAACAUGCAACACCCACUACUAUGAAGAAUUAAAAUCUAAAUUAUAACUUAAGCACUAAUUACAUAUGUUUCGAUGACCUUUUAGAUUCUUAUUAGCUAUGUUAAUCAUCAAAGUUAUAUAUCUAAUUUAACCAUAAGAACCAUUAUAGUUUUAACGUGUAACACCCACUAUCAAGUGGCAUUAAAAGUGGAGAUAUAAUUUAACCACUAUUACAUACGUUUUCAUGGCCCUUUAGAUUCUCAUUAUAUGAUAAAUUGAUUAAUGAUGAAUUAACUAUAUUAAUUAUAGGAUUAUUCCUAUCUACUCAAGCGGCAUUAAUUGAAAAUUUAUUUUUUUAAAUAUUGAGUAAAAAUUAGAGUAUCACAAGAUAGAUGAAUUAAGUAAAAUAAAAACAUCUUGACUAUUUGCAAUAUCUCCCUACCCGCCGCAACGUGCGGGUUACUACACUAGUAUAUAUCUAUGGCACUAAUUACUUUUUUGUUUAGUCUGCAUAUUUAAAAUAUUAUAAAAUUUGAUCAGUUAAGUUUAGUAUUUUCUUCAUUUAGCUUGUACAUUUAAAAUACGAUGAAAAUUGAUUAGUUAAGUAUUUAUUUUUUUUAACUUUAUAAUUUUAUUGUUGUAUUAUUAUAAUUUAUGUAUAAAAAAAUAAUUUAGUUGUUUUAGAUUUAUUUUUUUUUAUUAUAUAAGAAUAUAAUUAUAUUAUUUUUAUUUAUUAUAUUAUAAUUUAUUAAUUAUUAAGUUAUUUAUUAUUUAUACAUAGAUAAUAGUUUUACAUCAUUCACUUUCUACCAAAUAAACAGCAUAACUGAAAAACUUUACUUUCAUAGUUAUGAAAUAAAUAAUAGAAAAGAAGUAGUUUUCACCGAACUUUAUUUCAAGCUAAAAUCUACUUUAACAAAAAGUUGAGUUUCGGUGAAACAAACUAGAAACUUAGGAUGAUCUUGGGUGCUGAAUAGUAGUACAACGUGUUCCAAUUAUUGCUACAAUAAGUUAGGAUUUGGUUAGAUUUGUAGUUGAAUCCUAUUUGGAUAAGAAUUACCAUUUAAAUCUGUUUGAGAUAAAUUAAAAUUUAAAUAUUAAUUAGAGGAUAAACCUAACUAGAUUAGGAUUAAUAUUUAAAUCUAUUAGAGAUUGAUUAAGAUAGAUUUGGAUAUUAAUUAAAGUAUGAAUCCUAAAUAUAUUAGGAUUGGAGUACGUUUUAAAUUGAGCAUUAUAAAUAGGCAUUGUGGCUCUCUUUUUUGAGUGAGUACGGCUAGAACCAUUGGGGUGUCGUACCAGAGAGAGAAAAAGAGAGAGAGAGUUAUUUUAGUGCACCUUGUGCACGGAUGCACGCGGAGAGGUCUUCUUUGUGGGUUUAUAGAAGGCGAGAGAAAGAUAGGAGAGAUUCAAAAAGAGGGCUAGAGUUGUAGCUACUCUGUUGCAGAAGAGGAGUCAGGUGUAAUCUUCUCUUAUUUAAUGAAUCUUAUUUUACCCGCAUAUUUUCUGUUUUGUUUUUUUUUUCUCUCUUUUAUGAUUGUAUCAGCUUUUGCUGAGGAGACGGAUUUAUGGUAAAAAUUGGUAAAAAUUCGAUUUGGCGCUUCCGUUGCGGAAUCCCAAUAAUCGAUACCGGAUCCACAGCAGUCGGUAUCGGAGCGGAUUGCGGAUUCACGAGAUCCGGUACCGGGGCGAGUACCGGAUUCCCAACAGGUGAAACAAACUAGAAACUUAGGAUGAUCUUGGGUGCUGAAUAGUAGUACAACGUGUUCCAAUUAUUGCUACAAUAAAUUACAANCCCUAAAACGUUUUUCUUUUCUUUUUAUUUGUUGGUUUGUUUGAUUAGAAUGAUGCACAUGAUCAAUUUUAACUCAUCUGCAUGUGUAAACUGGAAUGAAUGUUUCUGCGUGGUUGCGAGAUGUAAUCCUUUGGGCCUGUUUGGAUAUAUUAUCACUCAAGAAGCUUGUGGUACUUGAUAAUUAAGUAGUUUAUAUUGCCGUAAAAUGUAAAUUCCUUUUGGAGAAACAUAAAUCACCUUGUAGAUAAAAGGGAUAAUUAUUUAUUUAUCUUUGAAAAGUUUCGAACUUUCUUAUUUACUUUUCAUAGAAGACUAAAAUAAAAAAUAUAUUCUUUUAACGCUUUUAAGUUUUUUUAAAUAUAUCUCUAGAGUUAAAUUUUGUUAGUGAACUGUUAGAAAUAGCCGUUAUCUUUGUAAAAUUAUUAUUUUGUCCUAUCGUCACUAAUUUUUUUACUUGCCCUUUAAUUGGUGACAAAAGAAGUAUUUUGACUUUUUACCAUUUCAAAUAUACUUUUCUACCAUCACCAAUUUUUCUUAUUUGUUCUUAAGUUUAGAACAAAAGAGGUAUUUUAUUUUUUUUUUUAACUUUGAUAGAGAUUUAACCUGAGUUUAAUCCGAAAUUACUUAACGAAUACUAAUAGCGAAGUUAUUUUUGAAUAACAGAGAAAUAGACGAGAGGUAUAUUUGAAACAAAAAAAAAAGAAUUAUAUAAAACAUUUAAAAAAUUUUGAGAGAUAUAUAGAUAAUUAUUCAUAAAUAAAAAAAAAAACUAUUCUAUUAAAUUAUGCUUUUUGAGAUAUUGGAAAAAUCUAGAAGGAAACUUUUGAAUUUAAAAUAAUAAAAAAGAAUUUAUGGUGCACAACAAUUUUGUCAUCUAUUGCUCCUAAAAUAAUUGAGGUUGGUGGUUGCAACGUGCACACGAGGAAAAAUUCUAGAAUGCAACAGAUAUAUUGGUGACGUGGAGUAACAAACUAAUCAAAUUUUUUUUAAAAAAAAAUAUCUCAUCAAAAUUAUAAAAAAAUAUUUUUAUUGUACUUUUAUUUGAAAAAAAAUAAUAAUUAAUUUAUUAUUAAUGACGUGAUGUAAAUAUGAUAGUAUAGAAUCGCUCACACAGACGAGUGCGUAAAAUCAUAGAUUUAUAGUUGCCUAUUAUUUUUUCUUUUGUGCUAAGGAAUGUAACUACUGUUUUUUUUUUUUUUAAUUCAUUUUAGAGGACUGCAACAACUAAUAUAGAAAGGUGAGAAUUAUGUUGCUAUCGCAAUCAUAAUAAAUGAAAGAGUCCAAUCAUAAAUAAUAUGAUAAUUAUCCAUUGAAGUGAUGUUUUAAUUUUACUUUUGUACUUAAAAAAAAAUGUAAAGAUAUUUAACUAAAUAUUAUAAAUUUUAUGUAUUAUAACAAGACAGAAAAAACUUUUUUUUUAUCUAUCCAUUCCAUCUCUCCAAUCCAUUUAUAUUGCACAAUUACUUACUGCCUAUUUGAUAUCAUUUUUGUUCUCUAUUUCCAGCAAUAGUAAUAAGUUUUAGUUGAAUUUAUGAAAUAUUUAAAAUUUUGUAGCACUGAGAGAAAAAAAUUAUCACAUCUAUAAACAAGUAUAGUGAUUCUCGUAAUAGCACUAUUUAUAUAAUAUUUUAUUAAAUAUUCUACAACUAAGCUAGGUACAGAUAAUUUCUAAACUAAUGAGGUAAAUGAGUAUUUUAAUUUAUCACCACCGCUAAUACAGAUCGUAAGAAUUGUAUAGCAAAUAAAAGAUCACUAGUGCAACCUCACUUAGUUAAAUGUCUGAGUCUAUGAAUAUUAUUAGAAAACAAAGAAAUUUUAAUUAAAUAAAUUAUAUUUUUGGUCCUCAAAUUAUAAUGCACGUGACACUUUAGUCUCAAACCUUAAUUUGUAUCAAUUUUUACUUCAAACUUUCUAAAUUAUUAUAAUUUAAUUGACUAAAUGAGAUGUGUUGAUAACAUAAAAGUGAUAUACUGAUAUGACAGUACUAUAUUAUAAUGGAUGAUUAAGCACUAAUUAAAAUAUAGCAUUAUUUUAACAUUAUCAAUAUAUUUACAUUUAGUCAACUAAUUUUUUUAUAUGACUUAAAUUAUAAGAAUUUAAAAUAUCCAAAUUAAAGAUUAUUGUAAAUUAAAGUUUUAAAAUUAAAAUGUCACGCGCCUUAAAAUUUGAGGACCAAAAUUGUAAUUUAUCUAAUUUAAUUAUUUUUUUUAUGGCGUCUUAAAUGGUGUAGAAAUGAAUUGGAUCGUUAACACCCCGUAAGGUACUCUUCACCGCCAAAAAGAAAUAACGGUCCAGAUCUAAUCAACUUCGAUCCGACGGUCAAUACCACCCCUUCUCGUUAAAACACUAUGCGACACGUGACGUGAUAGGGGAAAAGGGCAAAUUUGACAAAUGCGCAAUUUAACAGGCGUAAUUCCGUCAAUGUAGCCGAAAAAUGGCGCGAAGCAACGGCCAUGAAUGGACGAGGCACCAACCUGACGCCGACGUUCAGAGUCGCGCAGAGCCCCGUGCGAAAUGACCUUGUGCUCCUUGUUCCCAUAUAUGGACCGGGUCCACCACAUCAUCCGUAGACCUUUCAAUAAUUUAUUCGUUAUCCUUUUUUUAAAAAAAAAAAUUCUCAUAUUUUAAAAUAAAAUAGCUUAUAAUUGUCUUUUUUUUUUUAUUUAAUAUGCCUGUAUGCUUCGUUGCUUCUUGCACCCAAACAGCUUUUUGAGAAUUUAAUCUAGGGAAAACUUUAAAAAAACCCCAGUGGUUUCGUAGUUUUUCAUUUUGCCCCUCUGUGGUUUACAAUGUAUCAAUUUGCCCCUCUGUGAUUUUUUUUUCUCUUUUUCUUAUCAAUUUUAUUAUUUUUUUUUAUUAAAUGAGUGAUAAAGUUAAAAUUAAAGAAUACUAAAGUGAAUAUUUAAUAAAUCUAGAUGGGUAUUUGAAAUUUUUUGUAUAUAAUUUAAUGAAAUAUUAACGAAAAAGCUACCGAAAAGAUAAAAACGAAACCACAAUGGGGCAAUUUGAUAUAUUUUAAACCACAGGGGACAAAGUGAGAAACUACAAAACCACAUGAGGAGUUUUUGAAGUUUUUCCUUUAAUCUAUUAAAAGGCCCUGAUUUAGGUUGUAGUUUAUUGUGAUGCACACCAUAACUAAAAUAUAUAAUGAUUUUUUUUGGGGGGUCUAUUGGUAAUUCAUACUUGGAUCUCAUCAAAAAAUUAAAAAAUAUAGAAUUUUUUGUAUUACGAUCUGUAUUUAUUUUAGCUUAAGCUCUCAAUAUCAAAAAGACUCUACGUGGAAGUUCACACUAGCUGUUAAUUUUGUCUAAAAUUUUUUUUUAAUCAGAAAUAAGGAAUCAGAUUUUUGGUCUUUGAGAUUUUCCAACAUACAUGAUUCAAAAUAAAAGAAAAUUCUUUCUAUGAUGUGAUAUAUUUUACGCGAAAAAAAUAAUAUUAAGGUUUUAUAUGAUAUUAAUUUUAGACAUUUCUUCAUGCUUCCAAUAUAUAAAAUAUCACAAGUUAAUUAAAUUAAAUAAAUGUGCCGAGUAAAAUGUUUAUACAUUGCCUAUAUAUACAUGGGCCUUAAUACUUAAAUUGUAGGACUUUUGGAUAAAUGAGUUUUAAUUUUGAAAAUGGUGAAAUUUUUUCUAUUUUUGAGAGGAAUAUAGCAAACUAUCCGUUCUGUUUACUUUUUUAUAAAAAAAAUAAAGGCAAUACCUUUUUUUUUUUUUGCCACUCUCUUUUCAGUAAAAAUAAGGUAAAAUACAGAUAAGUUGAAUUUGACUACCCAACAUUUUAAAAUUCUAUUUUUACUUAUCCUACUUUUCAAGUUGUUUAAUUUGAGUUAGUCAAUUGAACUUUCGACUCUAAAAUUUAAAUUAAUUAUUUAUUUUAAUAAACUAACAGUUAUAAAAAUUAUAUAAAAUAAACUAAUUAAACUAGUAAAGAUAAACGACGCAUUCAUAUUUUAAAGUUAAAGUAUCGUUGACUGAUUGAAAUCAAAUAAAUAAAAAAUUAGAUAAUAAGUUAAAAUAUAUUAAAUAGUUAGAUUUAAAUAAUUUAUAAUUGUGAUAAUUAAGUUUCAUAGAUUUUUACCUAAAACAAAAGGAGUCUCAUUCCCAAGGUGAAAAGGGAGAUGCCAUGUCUCCCACCAAGUAUAAGGAGAUACGACUAACAACACAAAAGCUGGGCUAAAGAGGAAGGGAAAGAGAUGCCCUUUGUUUUGCUUUGCCUUGGCUUACUUUAUUUAAUUUANAAAAAAAAAAAAAACAAAAAACAAAAGGCAAAAAGAAGGAAAGAGAAAUGGCAACUCCUCGCAAUCUCGUAUCACCCUCUUUAUAUUUGCCUGAGCCUGGUGUAUCAGCACAUCUCAUGCCCUGCACCUAAUUUUUGUUGUCAAUAUUUUAGAAUUAAAAAAAUAUAAAAUGUAUAUAUAUAUAUAUAUAUAUAUAUAUAUAUAUAUAUAUAUAUAUAUAUAUAUAUAUAUAUAUAAAUUAUUAACUUUUAAAAAUAUAUAAAAAUUAUAUUAUUCGAUUAAAUCUAUGUUGAAAAUUUAUAAUUUUUAAAAUAUUAUUUUUUUUUGAAUGUAAUAAAAUAUAUUUUAUAUCUAAUAUUUUAAUUUUGAGAACUGUAUAAUAGUGAUUUAGGCCUAAUUAAUUUAAAAAAUUUUAAGCUCUUCUAAUAUUUUUUUUUCUUCAAAUGCUAUAGAGUUGUAACAAGCGACAACCGCUAAAAAAGCAUAUUUAGUCACUACAUUGCCGAACCAGGCCUUAAAAUAGUACGAUAUAUUCAAUAUAUUUGUUUGCUUAAAGAGAUCAGCAUCAUGUCUUAUAGCGGGAGAUUUGUUUGGGUCGAGUGAUAUUCGAAGCGACGGGAGGUUACUUGGGCUGAGUUACAAUCGAGAUCCGUAGACGUUAUAUUCAUACGCUUUAAGUGACUUAGUUAUAUCUUUUAAACAGUUUGAAAUUUUAGAAUUAAUGAUUAGCAUCAGCGAUCCGAUAAUACUCAUACACGAGGUGCAAAAAUAUUUUCAUGCUUUUUGUUGCGAGGGGGUGGGAAAAGCAGGAAAAGGGUGACUGUGGGUUUUGUCCGCUCGGCCUUUAGCUCGCGUCCGUUUCCAGCUGUACUGCUGGGAACAUCACUUGGCCGUUUCCCCCCUCCUCUCCCUCUCUUAACACCACCCGUGAUAUAGAGAGAGAAUAAAAAAGAAGCAACAUAACAUUCCCAUUGAGCUCCUUUUUUGAAUUUGAGGUGUUGGUUUGCUCAUCAGAGAGAGGUUUUUUAUGUGUUCUUUUGUCUCCCUUUGCACUGUGAAGAAGAUGAAGAAACAGAGCGCUGGGUUUGCUCUCUAAAAAGAUUUCCUUUGAGUUCUCUUUUCCUUUUUUUUUUCCCAUUAAUAACUAACCACAAAGUGUAGAGAUUAAUAACCACCUCCUAAAUUUGGUUGUUUUGUUCUUUUCUCGUAGAAAAGAAGCUUUUUUUUUUUCUUUUUUUUUUCUUUUUUUUUUUUUUUUUAUAAAAGAAUUUAUUUUUUGGUUCCCUCAUCUUCUCCAUUUUGUUUGGGUGGGGGUGUACAUCGCUCUAGGGCUUGCCNUUUCUCAGUAUCUAGUAUCUACUUGUGGAGACAGGUUCACUCUCUGCGGAUUUAUUUAGAUUUCUUUUUACCAUUGUUUGCUACAUCAACUCCUAAUUUUGCUUCUUAUGUUCUGUUCUUGCAGAAAGGAAGCAUCUUGUGAGUGGUUUCGCAAUAUCUACUUGCUCUGAGGAGGAAAAAAACAGGUUUUUUUUUUCUUUUUUCUUUUUCUUUUUCUAUAAAGAUUUCUUUGAAAAUCACCAUUAUUAACUACAACAAUGCGUAGAAAUGAAUACCCAGCUCCUAAAUUUGCUUGUUUUACUGUUUUCAGACAGAAAGGAAGCAUAUUGAGUGAUAUUUCCUGAAGUUUUGUUCAUCUGCGGAGAAAGGUUAUUUAGAUUCCUUUUUACCAUCCCUAUUUAGUACAACAAUGUUUAGAAACCAAUACCCAGAUCCUAAAUUUACUUGUUCUGUUCGGUUUUCGUAGAAAGGAAGCAUCUUGCUUGAUUUUGUCCCAAGAAAGAAGAAGAAGAAGAAGAAGAACAUUAACUCAUCUACAACUCAUCAAUGGCUAUUCGAAUUGGCCCAACUCAUCUUCUCCUCUUCUCCACACUUCUCCUCUUAAUCCCCUCUUCAACCCAACUCCAAUCCUCACAAACAUGGUCUCUUCUCCAAAUCCAGCGCCUCCUCAACUACCCACCCAUUCUAAGUACAUGGCACAACUAUACCGACUUCUGCUACGGCGACCCGAACCCGUCGGUGACUGUAGUGUGCUAUGAGGAUAGUGUGACCCAGCUACAUAUAGUCGGGGACGGGGCCUCCCCCCCGGCGCUUCCGAGAGCCUUCUCAAUUGACUCCUUCUUCACAACCCUUACGAGACUCCCCGACUUGAAAGUCCUCACCUUGACCUCCCUCGGCUUGUGGGGCCAGCUCCCUUCGAAGAUCUCGCGCCUCACCUCGCUGGAGAUUGUCAACAUGAGCUCCAAUUUCCUGUAUGGAACCCUUCCUAGGGAGAUUUCCCAUUUGAGUAAUCUACAGACGCUCAUACUCGAUCGUAACUUGUUCGGCGGCCAAGUUCCGAGUUGGUUAGGUGCGCUUCCGCAAAUGGCAGUUUUGAGCUUAAAGAACAAUAGCUUCAGCGGGCCACUUCCCAAUUCUUUAUCAAGUAUGGGAUCUCUAAGAACCCUCGUGCUCUCCUCCAACAAGUUAUCAGGGGAUUUGCCCGAUUUAAGCGGGUUGGAGCAUCUCCAAGUGCUCGAUGUGGAGAACAACUCGCUCGGGCCGCAGUUUCCGAAAUUGAGUAGGAAGGUGGUGACAAUUAAUCUGAGGAGGAACAAGUUCGGCGGCGGACUCCCGGCUGAAGUGGGCUCCUAUUAUUUGCUACAGCGGCUCGAUAUCUCCUUAAAUAGAUUCGUUGGUCCUUUUGCGCCCUCGUUGCUAUCUUUACCUUCUAUUAGAUAUCUAAGCAUCAAGGGAAAUAGGUUUACAGGGAUGCUUUUCGAGAACAUGUCGUGUAGUGCGGAUCUUGCGUUUGUGGAUUUGUCUAUGAAUCUUCUUACCGGGAACUUGCCCACUUGCCUGAGUAGUUCAAAGUCGAGUAAUAAGGCGGUUGUGUAUUCGGCUAAUUGUUUGGGGAAUGGGGAUCCAACGCAGCACCCGUACGUGUUUUGCCAGAACCAGGCAUUGGCGGUGGGGAUAUUGCCAGAGGAGGAGGAGAAGAAAUCAGCGAGCAAGGCGGGUGUUGUAGCUGGCGCUGUGGGCGGUGUUGUUGGGUGCGCUUUGGUUGUUGGGUUUUUAAUCUUCUUCAUAGUGAGGAGAACGAGUAUGAGGAGGGCAGUUCAGAGGCCUCCAAGAAGGUUAAUAGAGCAUGCGUCGAGCGGGUAUCCUUCCAAGUUGUUGGCUGAUGCAAGUACGGACUCUCUCUCUCUCUCUCUCUCUCUCUCUCAUAUGUUCUCUCAUGUUUAUAUGAAUCUAUUUACCGAUAAGCUUGACUUACGGCUCAAAUGCGAACAAGUUUAUAUGUAAUCAGAGAAGUUUCUGAAUUGCAAGUGCCUAGGUUGGUUUCAAAUUCAUUUUACAAUGGAACAUUGAGAUGCACAAUUGCUUCACUUUUUCACGGAACUGUUACUUUUACUGUCGCCUUUUCUGAUACGUGCUUAUACAAGAAAUAAGUCCACGCAUAUGGUUGUUUCUUCUUAUUUUUUUUUGCCGGUUUAGAGUUUGAAGUUCGCUUAGAAUGUUACUGACUCUUUCCUUUCCUUUUGUGAAACAAAGGGUAUAUAACACAGACAAUGAAGCUUGGGGCACUCGGUGUUCCGUCUUACCGAACAUUCUCCUUGGAGGAGAUUGUAGCAGCUACAAAUAACUUUGAGACCUCAAAUUUCAUGGGAGAAGGUUCCCAUGGUCAGGUAUGCAUUGCUCUGUAUUUUCCUCCUCUGUGUACCUGAUUAGACUGAAUUUGUUAAAGCUGAUCUCAGGAGGGCAUGAUACUAAGGAAAGCCUCUUCUGUAAUUUCAGAUGUACAGAGGGAGGCUUAAAGAUGGUUCCUUGGUAGCAGUAAGGUGCUUGAAACUUAAAAAGAACCAGACUUCCCAGAACUUCAAUCGUCACAUCGAACUUAUAUCAAAGCUUAGACACCGCCAUUUAGCUAGCGCCCUCGGGCACUGCUUUGAAUACCACCUUGAUGAUUCCACACUCAGUAGAUUUUUUCUCAUAUUUGAGUACGUAUCCAAUGGAACUUUGAGGAGCAACAUUUCACGUAAGUUUUCUAUUCUUCUGUUUCUCUUUCAUCAUUCUUGCUGCGCUUAGCUAUUCUAUUUAUGUCGGGAUUUUACAUAUAUUUUCCUGCAAAAUCAUCUAUUCACUAAACCUUUCGCAUGUACCCUCUUAAAGAUUCAGUUCCUUACAGACUAUACCCUAUCUUGAUAUCUGAUUCACAGGCAAAGUUGGUUUUGUUAAAGAGAUGCAUUUUUUAAGUAUAUAAGGGUAUAUAUUUGUAAGAAACUAAGAUUUGAAGCGUGUUGGAGUCAUAUAGGUGACAUGUUCUUAAGUUCUGUUACAUGCCAUUCCUCAGAGGGGGCUGCAGGACAGAAGCUUACGUGGACACAAAGAAUAUCAGCUGCCAUUGGUGUGGCAAAGGGUAUUCAGUUCUUGCAUGGAGGUAUCAUGCCCGGCUUGUUUGCGAAUAAUCUCAAAAUCACAAAUAUUCUUCUUGAUCAGAACCUCGUUGCCAAAAUCAGCAGCUAUAAUUUACCUGUGAUAUCAGAGAAUAUGAAAAUCGAGGUGAGAUGAGUGAUAAUUGUUAUUUUUUAUUUUAAACUUUUACUUUCAUCCUGAUAUGUUGAUAUAGCUUCCUAAGUCGAUGCACUCGAAUUGAUAUUGCAUGUCCAUGCAGCUAGGUUAUGGAGGAUCUUCAAAUGGGUCAAAGGAAUCUAUUGAUAGGUACUUUAUAUAACCUGAUUGUGUUCCAAAAGUUUAAAAAGAGACUACAUAAGAACAUGAGUACGAUCUCUUCUUUUUAUUAACAAAUGGAAUAAUUCUCUAAAGUCCUCAUUGAUGGAGUUUGACAGGGCUAAACAUAGGGAUAAGAUCGACGUCUAUGACUUCGGUGUAAUUUUGUUGGAGAUUGUAUGUGGAAGGCCAAUUACAGCACACUAUGAAGUCGAGAUAAUGAAGGAUCAGGUAAUACUUCAGUAUCUGCUGCUUACUGCUCUUUUCAGUUCCCUAUGAUCAGACAAAAAAAUGCUACUCAAAGCAAUACUUCAGUUGACUGAUCUUUCAAUACUCUAAUAAAUCACAAAAUUGUCUAACCAACAAUUAAAUCACAGCUGCAAUUGAGCAUAACAGUCGAUGGGGCCGCGAGGAGGAGAAGCAUUGUCGACCAAGCAGUGAGCAGGGCCUGUUGUGAUGAAUCUUUGAAGACCGUAAUGGAGAUAUGCAUGAGAUGCUUGUCGAAGGAGCCAUCGCAGAGGCCGUCGGUCGAGGAUGUGCUGUGGAACUUACAGUUUGCCGCGCAGGUCCAGGAGGCGUGGAGGGGAGAUUCUCUGAGCAGCGAAGAAUCCCCGCUCUCCCCUUCAGUGCCACCCAAGUCAUUGUGAUCGCCCCACCGCCAACUGUGGUCGCAAUGAUGAAAGUCUAAAAUGAUUGUUAUGUUAAUAUGGCUUGUGGUUAUUUUGAUUGAUUUUGGUUGGUAAACGAGUUUUAUGGUUGUAUAUUAUGCUUAGAAGCUAGAAGGCUACAAAUUAUGGUCGAACUGGGAACUGUGGAAUGAGGUAAGAGUAUCAUGUUCUAAAUUGUGUUGGUGCAAUAUGAUAAAUGUGUAACUUGUGCAGGCAAGUUCAUUUAUUUUUUAGAAAUGGAUUCAGCUAAAAAUACAAAGUAGCCAAGUAUUAAACUUAAAACUUCGGGUAUCAAUCAUGAAGUCCUUAACCACUUGUGCUAGAUACAGUCAAUUGUAGACUGAAUUGUUAAAUCUAUUACAACUGUGACGCAUAAUGGGUCUCUGCUGUUUGGUAACUGAAAAGUUUAAUUCAAAUUUUUUUCCCCCAUGAUUAUAAGAGUUACUCAAAAUAAUAUAUAUACAUAUAUAUAGAACUAGACUAGAAUACUAUCAAUAGCACAAAAUCAUUGAUGCUAUUAAGUUUUCGAUUUUUGGAUGAAAAAUGAUAGCAAUCCCUUAGGGUUGAAUGGGUGGUUGAUUGAAUAAUAUGAUCUAACGAAAGCGGUAUAAAUUUUGGUCCUUUAAAUGGAAAAGUUGAAGAUUCAAACCUAACUACCUAAAAUAUAUAAAAGUAAUUUCUAGGUCUAUGUAUAGCCAUGUAAAACAUGCCCCAGUUUUACGGUCCAAAAGGAGCAGAUGAGUGCUAAUGACCAAGACAUGGACUUGAAAAAACCAACAACAAUCUUCGCUAGACAUGCAUCACCGCUAAAACUCAUACACAAAUAAAUGCGUGCAGAACGGUACUACGCAAACCAGGAGUUUACUGCAUUAAGAAAACCACAAUGAAACAGAAAUACCAAAUGAGUCCACCAUACACUGAUACACUAAUGAACCCAAUAUCAAAUACUAGUCAAAUGCUUAAUAGGAAGCUGUUAACAUGCCAGGAACAAUAGUCCAUACAUCUAUUAUAUGCGCAUGCCGACAUUGCUCGCCCUUAGUCGGCCGUCCAGCUCUGUUCCACAAUCUCGCGAACUUUGCGGUUGUACUCACGCUUGUUCUCACUGAAGAGCCGAGCUGCCUCGGAAUUCGCAGGGGAAUUCGGGUUUGGGUCACACAGCAGAGACUGCAGAUUAAAAAAAUAAGAGGAAGAGAAGUUAGGGCUAGUGGCUGAAAUAUAAAAUCUAGCUGAGUAUUUUAAAUGCAAGUCUGUGCUUCACUCAUCAGUUCAGCAAUAAAAAGUUGGAAAACCAGACAAAGCAAGCAUUCUUUAGUAUAGAGUUAACUGGGUGAGAUUAACAGUCAGGUUGUUUUAUUUCUUUCCUCAUUGUGAGAAUCAGGAGCUCCGCAGUCUCCCACCAAGUCUCCCCACUGUGACUCAAACCCAUAACCACACCUUUCCCUCCAAGCCUUAUUGCUGGGGAUCCCAGUGGUUUGCCGAGCUAAACACUUGAUUAUCAAGAAUCAGCAGCCUCAAAUUGCAGCUAAUGACAAAUUUCUUCCUACUUGACCAGUAUUAGAUUUUUCUACCUUCUUCCUACUUGACCAGAAUAGAUUUUUCUACCUUAUGACGAAAGAACCUCUUACGCUUCUUAGUUGAACUCAUGAUCUUUGGCGUUUUAGUCAGGUAGACGAUACAUGAUACUACAAUGUCCAUGUACAGCAAUACAACAAACAAGCAACAAAUAUGUUAAUGAAAAGAUUAAUAGUUCUGCAGUAAUUUUGAUUCUUUGAAAAAUACUUUCUAUAUGUUUAACACUCCAAAUAUGCUCGUGUUUAGGAUUUAUAGAAAAACAGUACCACACUAAAGUAUCUGCAUAAUAUCAACUUUUCUUAAAUAAGGCUGCUGUUUUCAAACAAUCAUAUAGAAAGUGCAAAAUCAAGGGCAAAUGCAAAAUAUAUAAUACGUGUGUUAAUUCUUUUCACAUAAGAGAAGGUUAAUAAGCCUACCUGAAUAGAAGUCAGUAUAGCAGCAACGUCAUAUAUGGGGCUCCACUGGUUUUGUAAGAUAUCCAAGCAAAUGCUUCCAUCUGCAUAAACUGAGUAAUAUAGACUGUGGUCAGCCUAUGGGUGAUCUGAUAGCGCCUACAGUAAUAUAGACGUAGGACUACGAAGAGAUGGCUUGAUGGCAUUAAUAUGCUCCCAGGUAUGAUUAACAACAAACACCAACUAUAUUAUGUUAGAAGGUAGAACUUACUGUUUGGAUGAAACAUCCGCGAGACAAACCUGACUGUAGGUGGUUUAUUAGGAUAAUCUUCUGUAAACUGCAGGGUCAGUUUAAACGUGCCUAGAGGAAGAACAAAAAAGUAGAAGACAUCAAAGAUCAAAAAAUUCAAUAUAAACAAAACUUAUGGUGUUAGAUAUUUCAUCAUGAAUGCUGGUACGUUCAUAUAUCUAUAUAUUAUAAAAUGAACAGUAAAGAAACUUAUCAUGGUUAGUGGAGUUGCAUAACCAAUGGAACACAUAGGCGUUAAUUAACUAACUACAUCUCUUAUUCCACGGCAGAUGAAUAUUGGAGUAUCGAAUAUGAUGUGGGGAAGGCUUCCUAUCUCAGAUGGAUUGGGAUUCAUGUUAUUGGACGGAACCAUGUUUGAAUCUAAUGACACCGAAAAAUAAUUUAAAUGGCUUUCUGCUAUAAGUCUGUGUGACUUACGUGAUUUUUUUUUUUUUCGCUUGCUUUUGACAGAAUUGAAGAUGGUAUUUGAUUCGAGCACUAUCUCUUUUUUGAGCAGAUAAUUUGCAUAAACAAUAUGUUACUCUAAUACUGGGAAAUGGGUUAUCACAUUGCACAAGAAUUAAAUCGCAAAAUAUCAUACAAUGGACAAACCACAUAACUAAGGUCAUGCUUGGCUCUGGGCCGCAUUAUAAUGUAUUAUGGAGGAUAUCCAACAAACUAUGAACAAUUUCUUCGAAAGCUUCAAGUAGGUGAAAGCUAGCAGAAAAAUUUUAAAAAAAGAGAACAUACUCUUAGUUAUGUAAAAGGAUUCCUAAACAACCUGCUGCAAUAUGAAGAACACUUUGAGCAGAAAAUAGUAGUACAGAGGAGAAAGUCGGUAUCACUCCAGUUAACUGGAAGAAAAGCUUGGCGUGUGCCUUUCAUCCCAUAUAACAUGGGAUACCACUUAAUUCAACAAUUAGCAUGCCCAAAACGAAUCUAGAACGUCUACUGGAGAACUCAUAAAAUGACGACCAAAUCACACAUGUUAACAACUGCUAAGUUAAAGUCCUCCAAUAUAACAGAAAAGACAGACUAUAAUAAGCAAGUACUCCAAUCCUCAACAAUUUUGUCUUCGCCAUAUUACCGUAUCUCUACUUGUACAAAGAAAUAGAAAAAUCUGUGUAAAUAGCUCACUAAAACUAAAAUUGAUGAUUGAUAAUAUAUGAGACAUCAACUAGACGUCCAUUCAAUUCAUGCCACAAAUUGAUGAUUGAUAAAAUAUAAACAGGACAAAAGUUGCAAAAUAAAACACAUCUGAGCUAGGUAACUUGAGGAUUGGCUAAGUCGUGCCCUUACAUAGGCUGCAGUUUUCAUCUUUUGGCGCAUAAAUAUGCUAAAAACCAAAUGAAACGUCGCCUCUUGAUCUACAGCAUCAGACCUUCCCUAAUAUCAUAUAAGGAGGUUUCAAACAUCCCUAAUCCUCGUCUAUAGCACCAAUUCUACAGAAUCUACUUCAAUAAUCAAUAAAACCACCAAAAAUAGAAACAAAUCUCAUAUUCUUUGGAGGAUCGGGGCUCAAAGCACCAAAAACUCACCACCAUCCCACGGAGUAUCAUCAGGCCUGCAAAAUCGGACGCAAAACCGCAUCAAAUUCGGUCAAAUCGAAACGAGAAAAAGCACCGAACAACCGAUUCCUCCAGAAGUCUCCGGAUCGAUCGGAGGGACUCGCGGUCACGUACCCGAAGAUGACGGCGUUCCAGAGAGUGAUGUUGUUGUCAUGGGGGGCGCCACUGAUCCCCGCGGGCGGAUCCUGCUGCAGCCGCUUGAAGUCGCGCAUCAGCCUCUUCCUCGCCGGAGUCGACAUCGCCGGCGCUUCUCGAUCGCCGGAGACUGGGAAGCGGUCCUCCUCGUCGAUCUCGAAGAAGGCUACGUCGUCGUCGUCGUCCUCCUCCUCCUCCUCCUCUUCGUGACUCGUUACUCGCCCUAAGAAGCCGCGGCCGCUUCUACUGCUUCUGCUUCUUCGUUUCUUCUUCCUCCCAAUGGGAGAGAGAGAGAGAGAGAGAGAGAGAGGGGGGGGGGGGGGGGGGGGGAGAAUGAGAAUCUGGAGCUCCACGGGACGCAGUGGGUCGCAGAGGACCGCGUUUUAUGUGGUGGCCAGUGGUAAUUUCUCUUUGUAAAUAAUAAUAAUAAUAAAAUAAUAAUAAUAAACAUAAAAUAAUAAAUUACAUCACGCAGCCAGCCGUGUCAGAUCCGAACACGAGCGAGCCAGAUUCAGCUCGUGUUCAAACACGAGCUAACUUAUUUUAAUAUCGAGUCGAAAAAUUUUAUUUAUGUUGGGCUCAUUUAUUACUAAGCCAAACACGAGAACACGAACCAGCUUAUGAAUAAAAAUUAAAAAAUAUAUAUAUAUAUAUAUAUAUAAUAAAUAUAUAAAAUCUUAUUUGUUAUAUUUUAAUAUAAUGAUUAAAAUUUUAUAUAUAAAUGAACUAUUUUAUAUUUGAGUUGAAUUUUAUAUUUAGGUUGGACUAAAAAUUAAAUAAUAAAAAUUUAUAUUAUAUACAUAUAUUAUUAUUUAUUUUUAUAUAUAAAUAUUUAUUAUCGAGCCGAACAUGAGCUGGCUGAUUCCAGCUCGUGCUCGACUCAUUUAUUAAAAAAGCUGAAAAUUUCAACUCGUACUUGGCUCAUUUAUUAAACGAACGAUUCGAUCUUGAGCUCAUUUUGAAUCAAACAAGAACUGGCUCGCGAACAACAAACUGGAUUGCUACCCCUAAACACGGCCAUAUUUUACAAUUUCACUAUAAUUUACACCUAUCUUUUAGCAUAUGGAUAAUAUUGAUCUACACUGUAGAUAUUAAAAUCUAACCGUUAAUUAAUGAAAAUUAUCGUUAAAUUUUACAUAGAAUAAUUUGCUGGAUAGAUUAUCAAUUUGAAAUUAGUAGCAUAUACCAAAUUUAUUACUGCCCUAUGAAUUUUAAAUUUUAAAUUUAAUUCUAUUAGAUAAUAGCAAUCUGUUGAGUAAUUGAAUUUAAAUUUGAUUUUUGAAUUCAAUAUCGACGAUUUUAAAAUUUCAAUUCAACUUUUAAAUUGAAUCUAAAUGUUACUUUUGAUCUUAAAAUCAAAUAUUAAUUUUUUUUUAUUUCAAAUGGAAUUUUGAAUGUUGAUGAAAGUUUUAUUUUGAGUUUGUAUUUUAUAUUUAAGAAAAGUUGAAUUUGAUUCAAAAUUAAGUUUCGUAUGUUGUUUUCAAAUUAAAUUCACAGUUUGGAUGUAAUUUGAAUUUCAAUUAUUGUUGUUGGUAUGUGAAAAAUCUCUAAUACCUAUAUAUGGGUCCUAUGGAACAAAACAUAUAUACCUAAAUACUUUCCAUGCCACAAUAGUAUGUUACCUACUUACUCCUAAAGUCAUAUUCUAUUCUAUCUCAACCAUUAUUUUCAAAAAAAGUUAAUUUCGUACUGCUCAUAUAAGCAUAUCAUAGCAAAUAUAAUUCUACAAAGUUUAAUUUUUUAUAUUUAUUACUGUAAAAGUUCAGUGAUAUUUAUAUUUACCUCUCUGGUUUGUUACCAUUAAAGUUUAUACUGUCAUAAAUAUGUCCCUCCAAAAGUCCGAACAGUUAGAAUUAUGCAGAAAUAUUCUUCCAAAAUUCUCCAAUGGUCAUCUUCUUCUUUUUCUAUCAUCAUAAAUAAUAUAAAAGGGUAAAAAAAUCAAUUUACCUCAUUCACUAAUCAGGAUUAAGUAUUUUACCUAUGGUUAAUUAUAUUUUUCUAACGCAUCCUAACAGCGGGUGUAUAUAUAAAAACGUCAGGACUUUUGCAUGAAUAAAUAUAAAAAGUUAAACUUUGAAUAUAUUUGCUAUUUUAUAUGUAUGCAGGGAGCUGUAUACAAUUAACCCUUUCAAAAAAAAAAAAAAAAACAAACAAACAGAAUUUACAUGGUGUAUGGCUAAAAAAUAAAACACUUUUGAGCAGUACAAGUUUGGCACAUUUAUUGCAACCAAAAAGCAGUAAAUACUAUGCAUUUAUAUGCAAUUUAUUUACUGCAUCUCAUCAUAUCUCUUUCAAAUUAGGCAUACCUGUAAUACAGUAUAAGUUAAUAGACAACUUUAGUCCACAUAUCUUGCAACAUUGACAAAUUUAGCUGCUCACAUUUGCCUUGUAGAUUCAUCUCCUUUUUUUUUUUUUGUUGUUGCUUGAGUUCAUUAUGGUUUUUCUAAGGAUGUGUUAUGAAAAAAAUUACAUGAUUGUAUUUGUGUCAUAUAGGCUUAGAAAAACAGUAGUUUCACAGCAUAUUGCUUCUCUAUGGACAAUAAGAAUGAUACAAAAUGACCAUAGAAUAAGCAAAUAUAACCUCUACAUCAUUUUCAUAAAAAAGAAUGUUUAAACUACUUGCAACAUAUUUUCAAUUUCUUAUUUAGAAUGAUAUCUUUGAUUUGCCAAUGGCGAAUCGAUAUCAAAACUUAGAAGCCUAUUAUGAAAAGAGGAUAUAGAAAUCAUUAUCAAGAGCAAUCAUCACUGUUUGAAAUAAGAUCACACAAUGUCUAAUACUUGGAGUUAUUUGAAUGAAAGAUAAGUUUGAUGCAAUAUUUAACCCAGGAAGGAUUAAAUUCAUUUAGGUUUAAGUUAGAAACUUAUGAGUCGAAAAAUUCUGAAGCAGCUGCGGUGUACGCGCGCUCGAGUAACGAGUCCAUGUAUCUGUCAUGAGCAUCCUUCAGCAUUUCCACAUUCUUCUCAGCUUGCUGAUAAAAAACAAAAAACACCCCAAACAUCCAGAAGUUAGGAUUUUUAUACUUCUAUCCGCGUAAAUUCAUCGAUUUAGUAUCUUUAACCAGUUGUAACUGUAUUUUUUUCUCUCAAAAAAAUAAAUUGUUACGAAUAUUAUACCUCAAUUUCAUUUUGGAAUGUUGUGCAAUUCUCUAUCUGAUGACUUGCUGGUUCACAGUAAAGUUCAGGGCUCCUGCAUUUUUCAUCUUUCUUUCAUUUUAUCAUUUAUUCAAGUUUGGAAGAUUUAGAAAGAUUUAGACCGACGACGACGGGGACAAAUAAAAAAGAUUAAUAAAAAUAACAAUCUAAUAACAUACAUACACCACUGCAAAAUCAUUUACUAAUUAAGAAUUCAAAUUUCUUGGAGUGAUAAUGUGUAAAUAAGUAGAUAUAUAUACAUGUUACAGCAUUCAUCAUAAGAAAAACUUUGAAACAAUUAUGCCAUUUUACCUGCUGCAGUGAGGAUUCGGCGCCGGACUAUGAGAAUGUUCUUCAUUGUUAAGUCCUAUUAGGUACAAUAAUAUAGGGAAAAUUUUUAAGAUGCAUGUCCCAGAUAUUGAUGCAACUUUGAUAUAAGUUUUAAAAACAAAAAAAAAAGAAGAAGAAGACUAAUUUACCUUCCUUGUAUUGCUCUUCUUCCUUUUCUUUGCUCAACUUAUUGUUAGCCCUGUACUUCUAAAUGACCAAAAAGAAAAUAUUACAUAUAAUUCUAGUUUCCAAAUAGUUGUGUUAGGAUGAGUAAUAAUGUGCACAUUUAUUAAGUCUCAUGUGCAUGUAUAUGCAUCAAGUAACAAGGUGAACAAAAUAAAUUGCAUAAUAUUUAGAAAGAGAGAGAGAGAGAGAGAGAUUAAGGUAUUGAGAUAAUGAAUUAUACAUACUUGGAGAUGGCUCUUCACAUGGCGAAGAGUAAGGCCAUGAACUCCCAUUGCUUCCAUCGACUGCUUUAUAGCUGUAGGCUUUGCUUCUGCGCAUCGAAUUAAAGAGAUAAAUAAACUUGUAUUUAUGGAAGUGAAGAGAUAUAUAAAUUUCACUUACCCUUUACAUUAGAAACUUCGAAGUUUUAGUGUAUAAAGAAACUGGUUUUAAGAAGAGUAGGAUUUGUGGUGACCUUAAAAACUUUGCAUAAAAAAUUUUUUAAAAAAGGAAAACUAUUCGGAAGAGGUGCACGCAUGAAUCAAUCUUUUUCACAGUUUUACAUGGACCGGUUUGUCGAAAAGAAAAACAAUCACCUACAAAUAAUAUAUCCGUAAAGGUCAAGUAUCUAUUGGUGUGAACAAUUUUUUUGUAUUAAUGCAAGGGAAAAAAAUAGCUAGAUAUUAUAUACAAUUAGCUACUGAACUGGAAAGAACUAAAUGCCGCAAAAAUAAGUGAAAACUACAAACCAUUUGGACCUCCGAGCCGCGCAACAGCAACGACGAACCGAUCGUGGAGCUCAGGAGUCCAGCGAAGGCGAGGCCUCGGGCACAAACCGAAGAAGCAGCAUUGCUGCGCAGCGAUUCUCGAGAAUUGGAUGUCUCUUUCGCUUAUCUGAGCUCCUCGACUUUGAGUUUGGUUAUAAGACAUUUUCUGUAACAAAAAGUGGUCAAAUGCAAGAAAUUUUUGGAACAAUAAGAUGAACAAGUUAGAAACUUUAUUGAUAGCUAUAAUGCUUAAUAAGUAGUUAAUUUUGCUGAGGGAAAUUCUCAUGUGAGCUUAAUGAAAGGAAAGUGAACACAUGACAUAUUAUGAACAAUAACCUAUAAUAACACAAAUCAACACUGUGGAGCCACACCACAAAGAAGAAUCCUACUCAAUGGGCUCCUUAAAUAGAAGUGGAUUGGUAAUUUGCAAACAUUUUCCCCAGAUUAUUGAAAGGCUCUUUUGCCCUUACAAUGUUGUUCAUUGCCAAUUCUAAUGAGUGGGUAAAAUGGUCUUUCUAGUGCAGCUUUAUUUGACAAUAAAAAUCUGAAAAGAAGAUCUCUUAUUGGUUUAGUAAAUCUAAAAGGGAGCCAAAGGUAUGGUGCAUGGAUAUGCAUAUAAGCAAAUCUUUUGGGGGUUUACUUGUAGCCUUUUGUCAUCAUGCAAAAACCUUACUAAUUCAAAUUAAAUCAGAGAAAAAAAAUGAAGGGAGAGAACUGUGUUUGUACACACAAUUUCUUUUUCCAAUUUGUUGAUAUACAAAUUUUUUUUUAAAGUACAUUUUAAAUAAAAGUAAGUUAUAUAUCUCUUAAAGAACAAUAUACACAUAUUUAUAACUGUGUAUCUUCAUAAAGUGUGCAUUUGUACUCAACUACCUUCUAAUUAAGCAAUUGUGUAUCUGCUCUCAAAUAUGCCCCUGCAAUGAACUUUAAUUCAACAUUUUAACUGAUUUAAAUUGCCAUCUGUGCAAUUAUUAGCAACUUUGGAGAACAUGAAACUUUAGAAAGGCAUAUAUAUAUAUAUAUNUCGGUUUACUACCGAUUUGUUUUCGAUGAUAGAGCUUCCAAAUUAAUGAUCGGCGCCAUUAAACAUGAUCUAAACUAUUUAAACUAUCUGAAAAUCAAAUUUCACACAUUUUCGAUAUUGUUCUCUUGUCCAUCAAGUGAACAGAAAAAUGAAUGGCUGGAAAUGAAUAUCCUUCAAAAAGUGAUGAUACAAUUUUUAUAUUUGAGAUUUAGAGUCUAGAUCUUAUUUUAAAUAGUUUAAAGAAUUUUUUAACAAAAAUUUAGUUGAUUUGAACUCUUCUAUAUCAUUAAACGAGCAAAUGCACCAUAUCGGCCAUUAAAAUUAUAGAUUUUGUGACCUUUGAUCGUUCAAUUAGUGAUGCCAAAAAAUCAUGAAAUUUGAUGUCUAGAUAAUUUAAAUGGUCUAGAUCAUAUUCAACGAUACCGAUCGUCGAUUUGGAAGCUCUAUCAUCAAAAACAAAUCAAUAAGUAAACCGAGCAGUUUACUUAUACCGAUAGUAGCCCAGUCAAACUCUAUAUAUAUAUAUAUAUAUAUAUAUAUAUAUAGAAUUAGACUGGAAUACUAUUAAUAGUAAAACGCUCUUUUUGCUAUCAAGUUUUUAACCCCUGGAUGAAAAAUUGUAGAAUCAAGAUGAUAUUAGUCGGUUAGAGUUGAGUGGUCCCCCUAGGGUUGAUUGGUCCCCACUGGGUUAUAGUAUUUAAUCCAAUGGUUAGAAAUAAUGAAAAGAGUUGAUCCAAAGGCUAAAAAACUGGUAGCAACAAUAAGAUUUUACUACUAAUAGUAGCCCAGUCCAACUCUAUAUAUAUAUAUCACAUUGCUUAAUAAAUGUAUAUCUUUAUUAUUGCUAUAAAAAAAAUCUUAAUGUUUUAAGGGAGCAGUGUUAUAACUGUCAUUCCAUGCGCUAGAAAAACAAUCCAAAAUCUCCAUGUAGGCAUACAUGGAUUUUUCCUCUUAAAAUUGAAUUAUAAUGAAUUAUUGUUUAGUUUUUUUCUUCAAAACUAAGCAAUUAGCCCAGCUUUUUUUUUUUUUCCCCUUUUUUUAAAAAACUUCAUAAGAAGAAGUGGUUUAGAUUUAAUUACUUGAACAGAAUAUAGUGAAUGUAGGAAUAAUUAGGACCACUCUAUAUAAAAUACUCAUUAUAGGGUCUCUUCCAUUCCUACGCAUCUCUCUCGUACUCCCAUAUGAUUUGCUUAACAUUAUUGCGUAGUCUAAUUUCGUAAAAACCUUGCAUGUGAUUUGCCCAAUAUCUAUGCUUUUUCUGGUUCACUCGUUACCACAUGUAAUCAUAGAAAUACAGGAGGUUUAUUUCCUUCUGUUUUCUACUGAAUUAAUAACUCUCUCAACUGUUGUCAUUUUCAAGCUAUAGGUAUGUAGAAAUAUGAUCAUGGUUACCUAAUGUGCAUAUAGUCAAUGCCUUAUUAAUGAUCCUUCAUAUCAAAAACUCAUAUAGAGUAACAAUUCGGAUACCUACUAGCUCACAAAGCAUCGAGAAAACACGAUACCAAAUACGAAAAUUCCUUUUUUUUCAUAACUUUUGCCAUCUCACUUAGAUUAGGACAUGUUUGAUUGAAGCAAAGUCGGGCCCGAAACUCAACUCACGGAGCUUUACGAUUUCGAAACGGACGUCGGGCGCAGAACCAAGAUACAACUGAGAGUGGCUACAUUGUCCACAGUAAUCGCGAAGUCGAGUUCUUGUAACUUCUCACAUCACCCGCUCCAGUUCUACUCAAAAGUCUUAAAAAGCUUUAGUAGCCUAAAAUAUGGAAAAAGAAGUUGUGGUUGCACUGAAUUUGGGUAACCACCCUCUCUUAACCAUGCCAAACCCUAUUUCCUAGGUUUGGACCCUAAACUUAGUCAUUUUUCAGAGUCUUCGCUUCCUUCUUAACAUAAAGUGUCCAUCAGAGAAAUAACAAUCAACGUUUGGCAUAAAUGAAAUUGAAAUUGGAACAACAUUUGAACUCUCAGAACAAAAACUCCAAUUUAAAGCUUUUAUUUCUACUGCACAAGGUACUUGGGUGAGAAUAAGUUUAGUAAUCUAAAAGCAGUCCCAUUGGAUUCAAGAUCCUAAGAUCCAAACACGAACUUGGGUUAGAUUUCGAUCCGACUUUGGGAGUAACAGACACACCCCUAGCUGCUCGCAUAAGAUAAAUAUAGCCACCAUAUUUGUACUUUGUACUUUGAAUAUCCAAAUAUAAGUAACUCAUAUAAGAACAUCCAUGGCCUCCGAAAAAUUUUGAUUCGUGAGGAAUCAUAUUCAUUUGGGGACAAUGAAGCUCGUCUGAGCCUUCCCCAGAAUGUUCAAUGCCAAAAGAAAAAAGCACCUAUCUAUCAGUCAUACUUUGGAAGCAAUCGGCUUCUAUUAACUUAAUCUUGGACCAGAGGAACUAUCUGCUUUGUCCGUAUGUUCUCUCGAGAACAGUGACCGGCGGACCAUAGAUUCGAUGGCAUCGUUCACUGAACGAACUAACUAGUCGGGACACAACUUCCUUGAAGAACAUUGAUGCCACCUGCCAACAGAAGCCACCAUCAAAGUCAGAGGUGAUAAAAUACAAUCACACAACAAGGGUGAGUGAGCAAACGGACGAGUCCGUUAAUGCUUCUUAAGUUUAACAGAGCAAACAAAACAUAUAGUUUAACCUUGCAGAAUCUCCCUUUACGCUGACAACCACAAAAAAUUUCUUUCAAAUGAUGUCUAGAGCCUGAUGGCCAACUAAGGCUUUCUCAACUUACUAGGGCAGCGAUAAACCAGCAGAUAAACAAAAGAAAACGCAGCAACUAGUUAAGUAGCUGCCGCAAAAACUUACAAACUAAAUAAUUAGAUGAGAAAAUGAAUUAUACAGUAAGCUACGUUUUUCAUAACUUUGGGAUAUACUCUUCAAGAAAGUAUUUCAAGUCCAAUAAAAAAGCUUAGGCUGGAGGCUGUUCACAUGGGCAGAAACUGGUCACAAGUGAUUGUUUACACUCCAAAGACAAACAAUAAGAUUUUCUCAUAUAGGAACUCAAAUAUCAGCAGAGAGGGGGAGAAAAAAUUAUGUACCUGGCGAUAUAGCGGUGACUGGAACUUAAAAUCCACCAGGAAGUAAAGGUCGCAAGUUCCAGGCACAGGACCAGGAUUAAAUUCCCAAAUAUUAAUCAAAUGGUCAAAAAUAUUGCUUUCUGAUGCAGUCGUCUGCAUGCAAGACAAUUCAUAUGUAUUGAUUAGUCGCAGCAUAUUCAACAACAAUUUGGCGCUAACAGUUGACAUAAAAAUAGUGGAACAAGAUAAAUGUAACUUAACCAUCAAUAAUAGGAAAAAAAAAAUCCAGGCUGGCGUAUUCAAAACAGAGAAAAAGGGAAAACCUUCAUUUGGAUGCCAAACAUGUACAUGUACAUGUCAUGCAAGUAAAAACAUUCUCAAACAUCAAUAAUGAUGUUAUCAACUUCUGAACCUAUUUCCAGUUUAAUAUAAGCCUAUAUAACUGCCAUGCUUAGCCUGGGGAUCUCCAAUUUGAUCACAUGGCCUUUGAUAUAUUGUGUAUUGGGAAAUACUUGUCAUAAGUGGAAUAAGUUUCUUGAGAUAAUAUAGUUAUCCUUAACUUUUUCAUGUCAAAGCCGCUACUCACUUGAAAAAAUUUUGCAGGUCACAGGAAAAAACUUCGCGAAAUCAAAGAAGUUCGUAAGCUAGCAUGUUUUACUCUAUGGCCGGUAAAAAACUUCUAACCAGAGGCUCAGACGGUCCAAGCAAACAUUUUGAAUUGUACAAAAAUCUUAUCGAUCUAAAACAAUAGAACUAUGUGUCUGAUCAAUUACUGAGUUAUAAGGUAGACUUAGUCCAAACAACCCUGAUUAAUUGAUAAGUUCUGCAUUUAGCUGGCAUUUUAAGUGCAUUCACAUUUUUUCUAGAGAAACUUGCUCUAGGUAUUUCUAAGCAUAAAACCAUACUCAAAAUGAUUGAAAAGGGAAAUAAAUGUCACAAAGGUUCAAAAUUAAUAAUGAUGAUAAAGUGUAGAAGAUCAAUACACCCACACAAACCCCAUGAUGCAUGUAUAAGUCAAUGCAUGCCACUUAGGACUACUACUCAGAUGAUAGGAAGAGAAUAUUAGCAUGCAUAUAUAAAUGCAUGGAACAAUGUAUACUAAACACCAUGUCAAAAGAAUAUUAUUUUUCUCACAACAAUAAGAUCUAAUAAAAACAACUAAACCAAGUCAAAGGCAAUAUAACAUAAAUGAUGCAUGGCUACUGGGCCAAAAUAAACAAUUUUUAUCAUACUCCUUGUCAGCCAAAAUUAACCAAAACAAGGUUACAUUAUGCAUAUACAGUUCAGGAUAUGAACCUCUUUAGCCAUCCAAUCAUGUGAGAAUGGACACAAAAAAUAAGAUUAUGAUGUACUACAUUAAGCAGACAGAAGACAGACACAGGAACAAAUAAUUCUAAAAGUCGAAGUAGAUGGGUCACUGAAAAGAUUAUUACUGAAGCAAAAUUUAGGGUGAAAGAUGGAUAGUUCAUUAGGUGUAAGGAUGUGAUGAGAUCAACAAGAUACAAUCAACGCUCAAUGCUAACAGAAGACUAAAGGAAGUCUACUGUUGCAUUGAAGAAAUAUGUUAAAGUGAGUUCUAGCAGUGAGGUCGGAGAAUAGGAGUUGUACAUGCUGCAAAAUUAUUGAACAACAUCCGCUUAUUAUUGAAAUUAAAAAAACAUGAAAAAGAUCUGAUCAUAGAUCGCCGCUACUAAGCCCAAAGAGCUCAGAAGAGUUUAAUUACCUUAAUAUACCUCGGUUUUUCCAAUUCAACAUGCGAGAUGUAACUCUCAACAAGGAAUUUGAAACCAAUUUCCAAUUCAGCAUCAAAUGAGCCGUCGUCGUGGUGCCUAAUUAUCUUGGAGCGCUGGCACCAUGGCACGAAAUCCUCAUAUAGAUCGACAGCAGCAACAACUGCAAAAAGUUGCUCUGGAGAGUACCUGGUGGUUGCACUAUUAAUUAGAAUUUACUCUACACACCAAAAACAAAACCUACAUCCUAUUUAGUAGUUGAUAACGUAAGACAAUGUGGAAGUUUAUAUGUAAGGCAUAUCCAUAUCAGCAGAGAAGUAUAAAAUGUUCCACAUCUCAAUUCAAAUGCUACAAAGGCAAAAUAACUAUUAGAUGCAAACCAACUUAUUAGAACAAAAGAUGCAUUCUAGCUGGUAGAUGUGCUUAAAUUGAUAGGUUCUAUGAGUGUUAUUCACAAGUAAAGAGAAUAACUGCAUUAGUUAGUUACAUACCUAAGGAUCCUAAAACUGGACAUGGUACUACUGUAUUAGCAUUGUUAAUCUAAUUUACAAGCAAAAUCACAAACGCAAGUAUCUCUAAAAGGCGCAAAAGGAAAAAAACUUUUAUGGGCCUAAAUUAACAUCUAACAUACCCCAUCACCCGCCUCUCCUCGUAAACCUUCGAAAGAACACCUCCCUCCUCUCCAUCACCCCAGCCGAGGAAUCGCCUCGUUUGCGCGUUCCUUUGCAAAUAACCAAUCGACGACGCCGGAUCCCUAAAGGUACCAACCAAUCCGCCCACGGACGAAUUGCCGACACGAGCAAUGGUGCUCGAGAUCCGAGUUUGCGACAAUCGCCCAAGCUGCCGCUUGUUUUCGCCACAAUUCCCCAACAAUCCCAAUCCCUUCCCAAAAUCCAAAGCGCGAUGUUUACCGGAUAACAACCUCGCUAGGGCCUUCGACGACGAUACUAUCGGCGGCAUUGUCGUCAAAAAAGAUCAACUUUUUACCAUAAAAAUCGCGCCUUUCGAAAACAAUCAGCUGUCAAAAAACCAACAAAAAUUCCAACUUCUUUUCGCCCCAAUGCGCCGGAUCAGAACCCUAAUCCGGAAAAAGGAUCCGAGAACGCCCAAAAUUUGAUGAGAUCACGGAAGCUUCCGCGCACUUAUGAGGAGGAGGGAGAAUCGUAGAGUAGUAGGAGACGACGCUCCUUCACCGCUCUCGCCCACGUAGCUCGGAUUUGGGGACGACGAUGCCGAAGAAAUUGAAAACAAACCAGAGACGCAGCGCGGAGAACGGGGAGGAUGCGGAAGCCGCUGGGUUGCUUCUAACGCAUACUUCGGGGCGAAAGCGUGGUCUCGAGUUGAAUUCGAUUUUACUAGCCCUAAUCCGACUCGACCAUCUCCGAGUUGUUGGAUUACUUUUCGAUCCGGAUUUAAAAAAGUAUUAAAUAAUAAAAUAUUGCACUCAGAAUUUCAGAUCCCCCGCUUAUCAUAUUUAUUUUCAUUAUUUUUUUUUGAUAAAAGAAUGAUUAAUUAUAAGAAAACUUUGCAUUUGCAAUGAUAGAUAUUUAAUUGAAAGAGAAAGAAAAGUUUGAGCACGAAACCAAAAAAAUAAGGGAAAAGUGAGUAAUCAUUACUGCAAAUUAUAAAUUUUUAGUUUAUUAAUUAAUUGAAGUUAUGAUAUUUUGGUAUAAUUUAUGGUGCACCGCCUGCACCUAAUAUAUGAUGACACGUGUCACUCCAUAUCUUCCCUCAUGCUCACUCGAUGUGAUGCGACGGAUAAUUAAUUAAAAAAAAAUAAAAAAAUCAAUGACAAAAGAAAAAUAAAUUGCGAUGAAAAAACCGAUGAUAAAGGAUGAGAUUUAUCUUGACGAUGAAUGUAACAGUCGAAGAAAAAGAAAGAGGAACAAUUUGGUCUAAUGCUGAAGUAUGAUUGGAUUCAAUUCAAGAAAAAAAAAAAACUCAAUUAAUUAGGCUCAAGCAAAGAAUGAGAAAAGCUUGAGCCAAGAAUAGAGUCUAUACUCAAUAAGAAAGAAAUAUUAUCUUGUGGUAAAUUUAAAAGGAAUAAUAUAUAAAUAUAUAUACAGAGGUGGUGAGGUAUACAUAAUAGUAUAUAUAAAAAUAAUAUAAAUAAAAAAUAAAUACGGAUGGGCCGGCCCAUAGCUUUUGCUCCAGAGUCCGACCAUCAACGGUCCAAUCCGACGGUCAGAAAAACGCAGAACACAACAGAACAGGACGUACACCGGAAUUUCGGUGGUCCAGCGACCCUAUCUUCUAACCCCCGCGGUCUUAAAACCCAAAACCACUACACGCAGUCCCUGAAGCAGCGGAUACGAUUCUCCGCGAUGAUACCUCUCCUCCUCCUCUACCGCCACUCUACUCCCUAUCCACAGCGACUCCUAAAACCCUAAUUCCGAUCCGAUCGAAACGUAGGGUUUCGUACUCUAAACCUUUGAAGCUUUCACUAUCGAUCCAUGGGAACUCUCCCCAGCUCCUCUCUCCUCAAUCCGAGCUUCCGAUUCCGCCAACUACCCCACCUCGGGAGCUUCCGAUUGAGGGAUUCGGUUGUUUCGCGGAGGGGUUCGAGGGAUUUGUGCGUAGUUUGUAAGGAGAGAUUGGGCAAUUGGAGGUUGGGGAGGCGCCGGGAGGGGUUUCGGUGCUUCUCGAUCAAUGGGAACGAAGAGGGGGAGGAGAAUGGGGCGGGGCCGUCCACAAAGCCAGCGGAAGAGGGGGAGAAGAGGGUGGGUGGUGAUGAUUCGAGCUCGGAGCGAACCCGUGCGUCUGUUUCAUCUAGGGUACUGCGCGAUCCUUGUUCAUUUUAGCUUUUCUUAGAUAUCUCCUUUGUUGAUUACUUUUCCUAUCAUUUGAGCUUUUGUACUUUGUACUCUGUAGUGAGCAUUAUAUUCAAUAUAAGAUCCUCAUUGUUUAACGCAGCAACUUGUGUUAGAUUGAUCAUAUAUCAUGCCCUUAAAGAUUAUCAGUUUGUAUUUAUUGCAAUGCUAUGUAAUUUUUUUAAAAAAAAAAUUAAGCACACUAUUCAUGUAACUUCAUAAUUUCCCUCAACAGAAAGAAAAUUUAAGUAGACUUUUCCGACAAAUAGCAUGAGUUUUGUAUAUAAAACAUAUGUGGAUGGCCCGUGACCAGUACAAAGGAAAGAGUGAAACCAAAGAAUUUUUGGUAGUUUGCAGCAUCUGAAAAUUCAUUGUAUAGUCAUGUAGAUGACUCCCCUAAACUUCUUCAUUAACAUAUUUCCCAACCUUAUUUAUCCUCUUCAGACCCCAGGCAUAUCCUCGGAUGGACCACUGUACAGUAGCUUUCAAGUUGAUUCAAUAAGGCUAAUGGAACUCCUAGGACCUGAGAAGGUAGAUCCUUCUGACGUCAAGCUUAUAAAAGAAAAGCUCUUUGGCUACUCAACUUUUUGGGUCACUAAAGAAGAGCCAUUCGGUGACCUUGGUGAAGGAAUUCUCUUUCUUGGUAACUUGCGUGGGAAGAGGGAGGAUGUUUUCGCCAAACUUCAGCAGCAGCUUCAUGAAGUUACAGGCGAUAAAUACAACCUGUUCAUGGUAGAGGAGCCCAACUCAGAGGGCCCUGACCCACGUGGUGGCCCACGUGUCAGUUUUGGUUUGCUGCGAAAAGAGGUCUCUGAGCCGGGGCCUACUACUCUUUGGCAAUAUGUUAUUUCAUUGCUUCUAUUCCUCCUAACUAUUGGGUCUUGUGUAGAACUAGGAAUUGCAUCUCAGGUAUGCUAUUUUCAUUUGGUUUUGAUCCAUUCUAAUUACUUUAUUUUACCUGUUGGAAAAUAAUAACAUGAUAUUUUGAACAGAUAAACAGUCUUCCUCCUGAAGUAGUGAAGUACUUCACUGAUCCAAAUGCUACAGAACCUCCUGAUAUGCAGCUCUUAUUCCCAUUUGUGGAAUCUGCUUUACCGCUAGCAUAUGGUGUUUUGGGCGUCCAGCUAUUCCAUGUAAUACAAAAUACUUAAUGCAUUCCGCAUAUGUUAUCUAUACACUUUUCUGGUCAGAAUUCAGAAAUUGGAACCACUCCGAAAAUAAUAUUCCAACUCACUUCGCAUUAGGUGAUUCAUUUUCUUUGGCAACACAUUACAAGGGUGAAUUUUUGCAAUAGGUUAUCUCAUAUUCAAUUAUUAUAAACUUCUACAAAUGUCAUAUAUGUAAUCCGGCCAUAUCUAGGUACCACUUUUCAUUGAUAUGUACAUUAUUUAAAAUUUAUAUUUCUUACGACAUGUUCAUUCUUUUUUAUGCAUUUUUCUAACAUUUCCUUUUACAGGAGGUUGGACAUUUUCUAGCAGCAUUUCCCAGUAAAGUGAAGCUGAGUAUCCCGUACUUCAUUCCUAACAUAACCCUUGGCAGCUUUGGUGCAAUCACUCAGGCAAGCUACUUUAUUGUUGUUGUACUUAACUCAAGCUUACAUUUAUUGGUUUAAUUAGUGAUAUUUCUAUGUAUGUUCCCAUCAAGGGAGAAACUUUGACCACACUAGGCUACUGUUCUUUAUUUCUAUUUUUAUCCAAGUCUUCUUGAUCCUCCAAGCCCUAGCUCUACAAUUUUCACAUGUGUUUUUUUUUGUACCUGUAAUCAUUGUCACACUGCUUUGGAUAUUUCACUGUAUUAAUCAUAACUUAAGUAGUUCUGUGAGGCUAGAAGUUGGAACAUGCAAUUUUGAUCCUGCUUUUGGCACCCAAGCUAAUGAUUUAUAUCUUUCUGUAGAUGCUUUUCUCAAUGCUAGGAAUAAUUGGUUUGCAAAUGUCAAAUUUCUUAACCUGCUUUUGGCACCCAAGCUAAUGGUUUGUAUGUCUGUAGUUGCUUAUUCUCAAUGCUGUGACAUGAUUGCAUUGCAUGUCUAGUAUGUAAUCUUUGUAUUUUCUUAAGCACAUGUUCUCAUUAUUGUUAUUAACUCGUGUAGUUCAAAUCUAUUCUUCCUGAUCGAAGGGCAAUGGUCGACAUCUCAAUGGCUGGUCCUUUUGCUGGUGCUGCACUUUCCUUCUUGAUGUUUUGUGUUGGCUUGCUGCUUUCAUUGAACCCAGCUGCUGCUGGAGAUUUAGUGCAAGUCCCUAGUCUGCUCUUCCAAGGCUCGUUGCUGCUUGGCCUCAUUAGCAGGGCUGCACUUGGUUACACGUGCGUUUCUUCCCUUAGUAUCUUGGUGAACCAAAUUAUCUGUUCAUUGAUCAUACUUAGUUGUUACGAAAUUAAAAGAAAACUGAUUACUAUAUCUAAAUCAUCGGCAAGAUGUAGAAGUUAGCUAGAAUAACCAUAAUCAAUUUCUGAUUGCUAGCAGAGCACCAUUUCUCCCGAUGAUAUUUACAUUCAUAAAUCAUGACUUUGUUGACUAUAUUCAGAUUCUAUUAUGUUUCUAAAAUCUUACUCUUAUUCUGUUUUGAGAACACAAAUACUUUAUGUUUUCUAUCUGAUUGCUGAUGCCUUUUCUGGUGUCUGACUUGCGUUGACUUGCAGAGCUAUGCAUGCUGCUACUGUUUCAAUCCAUCCACUCGUGAUUGCUGGCUGGUGAUGUAUCUCACAUUUUCUUUUCCGUGAAUUUAUAUAAUAUAUGUAAUAAUGCUUAUUGCUAGUUUCAUAUUUCAGGUGCGGUUUGACGACUUCUGCAUUUAAUAUGCUUCCUGUUGGAUGCCUUGAUGGUGGAAGAGCUGUACAGGUACAAGUCAUGCAUAUGUGCAAUAUUAGAAGAUAGGCAACUUUUAUUUCUCAUUCACAAAUCCAAAGUAUUAAAGGUAACCUCCUUGAUAGGGCAAGUUAUUUGCUUAUUGAUUGCCCUAUCACUGUACAAUUAUUUGUGUAGUCAAUCAACCCUAUCAUAUGGGUCCAUUUAAAUUCACCAAAGGUGCAUUAUACAAUGUGGGUCUGAGUACAACUAGGCAGAUUGCUACUUUUAAAAAUUCAUGAUUUUAGUUGCUUCUGCCUCUAUACUGUGCUUCUCCCUCAACAUUUAAGAUUGAUUUUUGUUCUGAUAAUGUUGUAACCUCUAACCUGUAACAGGGUGCCUUUGGGAAGAAUUUCUUGAUUGGGUUUGGCUUGACAACAUACUCUUUGCUUGGACUUGGAGUGGUAUAUACAUUUAACACCUAUCUUUUCUUUUUUAGAAACUGCUGCAUCAUCUAAUGUGAUUUUCUUAUUUUAUUUAACUUGGUAUAAUUGUGGAGCACGAAUUCUUUAUAACUUCUUCCUUUGCAACUUUGGUAUACAGCAUUGAUCCAUCAGUGGAUCUCAAAAGCUGUUGGUUGGUUUGAAGUAGAACUAAUUAUUUCAUCUCAGAAUUUAGAACCAAAACAACUCGACAGAUAAGUCUAAUUAGGAAUUUACUACAUCCUGGUCUGUGGAGGAUCCCACAUGGUGCUGUCUUUGGUUCCAUUAGAAUUUGCUGGUUUCCAGCAAAUUCUUUAAGAAACUGUGGGUGACAGUUGGUAAGGCAACUCCAAUAGAUCUGUUACACAGGCCAGCAAUUACAAACUCUUUUGUUCUCCAAUUUUGAGCAUCACACCAACUUUUUGAGCUGAGUGGUGAACUUGUGGAUGGAAUGCUCAAAAGGCUCUUUUUGACUAGGUUCUGAUCUCACCAUGUCAUUUUCCUUUGAAAUAACCACAGUUCAAUGAAAUAUGAAAUGAAAUUCCGAAUGGUGUUUUAUUCCUUGGAAAAUACUAGGAAACAUAUUUCAGUUCAUUUGGAACCCAUUAAUAUAUACAUGGCUUCUUACAUUAAUUCUUCUAUGAUCAAUGACAUUUUCCAUACUUACGUUCAAUUAAAAAUGCUCAGCCAAGGUGGCCAUUUGAAGAACUUUUCAGCAUGCUCUGAAAGUUUCUGUAGUUGUAUGCCACUAAAUUUCCUUUCUCAGAGUUGUCUCAAUAAUAAAACUAUAGACAGGUUUUAUUUCUUAUAUUCCAAUAUUUUAACUUCACAUAAACAACCUAAUAAUGCUCCUUUUUAUUUCCUUCUAUAGCUUGGGGGGCCGUUAUCGCUUCCCUGGGGAUUAUACGUUCUAAUAUGCCAGGUAAAAUGGAGUAAAAUGGAGUAAAUUGGUAUUAUAACAAACUUUUUCCUUCAUAUUUCUUACUAUCAAUUUUUGAUCAAAACUUAUUUUCUCUCAGAGAUCACCAGAGAAACCCUGCUUAAACGACGUGUCCGAGGCCGGAACAUGGCGAAAAACUGCCUUAGCUAUUGCCAUAUUUCUUGUUGUAUUAACUCUCCUUCCAUUAUGGGAUGAACUAGCAGAAGAGCUAGGUAUAGGCCUUGUAACUACAUUCUGAGGUGAAUAUUUUUGCUGUAUUGGACUUAUUCUAAGUCCUUUUUUUUGGGUCAAAUUUUAGCUACAAAUUGUAAACUUGUCACACCAAAUUUGUAACUGCGUAAAAAUGUUACCCCUUUACAUAAAAAAAAGGGUCUAAUAACGGUAAUAAAUAAUCACAUAGUUCUGUGUUUGAAUUAGUUGUGUUACCUAUCUUAUUGUUCACCUAGCACCUUAUAAACGAAAUAACGAAAUUAUUUUUUGCAAAAUUAACCAAGAUAGUUGAAUACGGGUGUAUGGACCUUAAUAAUCGAGACUAAAAAGUGUACCAAGUUCGUACUCAACACCGCUUCAUUCGAUGAACCCUGCAUAUGUGAACCAAUUGAAAAUUUUUAUAUCGUAUAUUAUGUUGAGAUUAGUACUUUUGGAUCAGCAAUUUUUAAAAAUAUAUAUUACGUAACAUGACAACAAGGACUAGUAUUAAAUGCUUGUGCGCAAAAAUCCUAAUAACCAAAAAGCAAUGUAUAAAAAAAAAAAAAGAGGAUAUUUUGAAGGUCAAGUGAUCUACGGUUGUGAUUAAUUCAAACAUGGACCGAAAAGAUAAAAGGAAAUAAUAAUAAUAAUAUAAUAAUAAAAGAAGAAAAAGUAAGAGGGAAAGAAGCGAACCCCCGAUAGACCUACUGCGUUCGAGUUCUCUCUUUCUCCCCGCAAGCGGCGAAACCGACAUCCUCCGAUCCCUAAUCUCACCUUAGUUCCCCAAAUCCCCCCCAAUUCCCGACGAAACCCUAAUUUCUCAAUCCGAACCCCCAUCGUCCUCACCGCCACCACCGCCUACCCCGAUCGCUCCGCCGAUCGCCGCCGCGCUGACUCACGAGAUGAUCCCGGAGAUCGUCCCCCCGCCGCCUCCCGGCGGGGUGGGGGCGGCGGCGGCGGCGGCGGCGGCGCGGGACCUCUCGGCCUCCCCGACGAGCUCCCGCUCGGUGACGGAGACGGUGAACGGAUCCCACCGCUUCGUGAUCCAGGGGUACUCCUUGGCGAAGGGGAUGGGCGUGGGGAAGCACAUCGCCAGCGACAACUUCACCGUGGGAGGGUACCAGUGGGCGAUCUACUUCUACCCCGACGGGAAGAACCCCGAGGACAACUCCGCGUACGUCUCCGUGUUCAUCGCCCUCGCGAGCGAGGGGACCGACGUGCGCGCGCUCUUCGAGCUUACGCUCCUCGACCAGAGCGGGAAGGGGAAGCACAAGGUGCACAGCCACUUCGAUCGCUCGCUCGAGAGCGGGCCUUACACGCUCAAGUACCGCGGGAGCAUGUGGUAAGGCGAUCGAGAUCCCUCCCUGUGAAGAAUCGGUUGAUUCGAUUGUUGGAUUUUCUUGAAUUGAUUGAUGAUGAGCCCUGAGUUGUGCGAUUCGCUUGUUGGAUUCGUUAAUUUGAUAGAUGAGCAAUGUUCUUCUCUCUCUCUUGGAUUUUCUUGAAUUGAUUGAUGAUGAGCCCUGAGUUGUGCUAUUCGCUUGUUGGAUUCGUUAAUUUGAUAGAUGAGCAAUGUUCUUCUCUCUCUCUCUCUCUCUCUCUCACACACACACACACACACACAUAUUUAUGACCUUUGCUUUGGAACGUGAUAGAGUGCUAGUUGUUUUCUCUCCCCUGUGCAAGAAUUAGGUGAUUUUCUUGUUAUAUUUCUUUAAUUGAUCGAUGAGGAACGUUAAUGCUCUUUUCUAUACCUUUUUUACAUAUGUAUGAGAUAGACCUUGAAAUUUGAUAGAGCAACGGUAGAUGAGCCCUGAUUUAAUGUUUCAUAGCUUGAUUAUUUUAUGGGAUGAUGAGGUUUAGUUCGCAGUGCUAAAAUCUUUACGAACUAUAAAAAGAAACUUAAAUAUUCUUCUCUAGUUCUUUUUGAUUUCUUAUUCUAAAAGGAUGUUCCUUGUGGAUUAUGAAAUAUAGUCAGGUUGACCGGAGAGUCUGAGUGUUUCUUAAUGAUGGAAAUAUAGGAAUGUUAUGGACUGAGAUAAGGGGUUAAACAUGGGAUCUUGCAUUACUAAUAUGGUUGUCAGUGCUUUUAAUAUAGGCGUGCGGACGACUUUCAACUGGUUUUAGCUAUAUAGUUAAUCUUGAUUUCAUUUUUGGACUCUAAUAAUAUAUCUUAGAUGGUAGGCUUUAUAUAAUGGUAGAUUUAUAGAAUCCCAUCAUAUUUCAUGUCUCUGCCACACCAGGUUCUGAGAAUUUUUAUGUUAUUUUAUCCACAAUGAUUUUUAAAUGUAAGGAUGGUACAUCAUAGUAGGACAUCUUCAAUUUUUUAGGUUAUGUAUUAAAAGCUGUCAAUCAAUUGUUCUGAUUUAGUCUUUUAGGGCACUCAGUUUUUGUUGUGCUUUAUUAAAUUUCUUUAAGCUAGUUUGUUAGUGCAACCAAUAGCUUGUCAAUGCAGCCAUUCUUAUUGGGCAAUGUUGUUGUAGUUGUUGGAACGCGCUCAACUGUUUCUUGUAUUUAAACUUCUAAAUCAUAUUUGAGAGUUUCCAUUGCUUUUGAACUAUUACUCUUGUUGUAACUCUUGCCUUUUUAAAGGAACUGGAAAAUUUUGUUCUUAGAAUCUUGAAAGAAGGUUGCAAUAUUUUCUUUUGAUUCCAUUGUCCCGCAACCUUUUGAAGUAGAAAAUACUUGCUGAGUUUCAAUAAUCGUCAGUAUGAAGAAAUACCUUAUUAAACUGGGCACCAAAGUAUGCUUUGGGUGCUUCAAAACCAAGCUUGUCUCUCAUGUUCCUUUAAUCUUGUGAGUUUUUAAGUAGAUUCACUUUUCUCAUUUAUACUGUACCUUUUCACAUUAAAUUUAUGUUGCUCCUGAUGGGUCUCUUUAGGGGUUAUAAACGCUUCUUCAGGAGGACCGCUCUUGAGACAUCAGAUUUUCUUAAAGAUGACUGCUUGAAGAUAAACUGUACUGUUGGUGUCGUGGUGUCAGCUACAGAUUAUUCCAGACCACACUCAAUACAGGUCCCUGAUUCUGAUAUAGGAUUGCAUUUUGGUAUGCUUCUGGAGAAUCAGGAAGGUUCAGACAUUGUUUUUAAUGUGGCCGGGGAGAAAUUUCAUGCCCAUAAGUUGGUGUUGGCUGCUCGAUCUCCUAUAUUUAGAGCUGAGUUUUUUGAGGGGUUAAAUGAUGAGAAGGAUGAGAUUACUAUUCCUGAUAUGGAACCAGAGGUCUUCAAGGUGAGGAACUUCAUUUCCUUCUGCUUUGGUUGUGUUGCUCUGAUUGCCUUUUCUUGGAAAUAAUUUUUCUUGAGUUCUUUACAUAUAUUCCACUGUGAAAUCUGAAUAUUUAUACAUGCCCUUUGAGAAUUAAUUUCUUACAUAUAUUCUCUUAUAUUACUAGAAGUGUCCUCUUUAAAACUUGGUCUGAUACAAAGUCAAAUCUCCUGCAUGCAUUGGAUACUUCCAUUUGAAGAAGUAGGCGUUUUUGCAAGAAAAAUACACUUUUGAUUGGUAUUACAUAAAAAUUCUGAUUUUACAGGCAUAUAUAUUUAACUUGAUGAUUUGCUAGUGUAUGUAUAUAAAAGCCCUAUUUUGCUAAUUCAUUGCAUUUUGCAGGCGAUGCUACACUUUAUCUACAGAGAUACUCUGGUUGAUGAUUAUGUCUUGGCUGCAUCAAGUUCUGUUUCGUCUAUUUCUGAUACUUUGGCUGCAAAAUUAUUGGCAGCUGCAGAUAAAUAUGACUUGGGAAGGCUUAGGUUAUUGUGCGAAUCUUACUUGUGCAAGGAUAUAUCUGUAAAUUCUGUUGCGAGCACUCUUGCAUUGGCGGAUCGUCAUCAUGCCAUGGAACUUAAGGCAGUUUGCCUAAAAUUUGCUGCCGAAAACCUUUCAGGUACUAACUUUUUAUCUUUCAUAUCUGCACUUUAGAAGUUUGACUAGCUAUCAUAAGCUCAAAAUUCAUACAAUAUUACUGAUUUUUCCAAGUAAAUUUUGUAGUAUACCAAAGUCAAUUAAAUAUAGAAACUCAUUUUUGUGCUAGGUCCUGUAUAUGUAAUAGAAAUUAGGAAAUAUGGUGUUAUGUUAGUGUCAAAACAAGUUGAGAAUGCUUGCUUCAGUAGAUUAUUUUAGAGAAUAGAGAUUUUUUUUAGUUGGCUUUGACCCCAGAUGCCUUUACUAAUUUGUUGGAUUUUCUAGGUUUGCCAUAUCCUUUUUUUUUCCUUUUUUUUUUCACUAUUCAUUUGUUGUUAUUUAAGCUGAUAUAAUACUCUAGCUUUUUCUGAGAACCACUCUUUGAGGAAUUACUAUCAUUGCCUUUCCGUUUUGCAUGAGUUGUUUUAAUUUUAUCUUUAUUGUUGGAGAAUUAGACUGCACUUGUUUUUCUGGAGGCAAUUCGAAUUCAUGUUUUCGCCUCUUCUUUCUGAAUUAACAUUAUUAUGAGUAAGCUCUUUUAUUGUGCUUGGAUAUGCGUGCCUUACUUGGAUCAUGAUCCGAAGGAGCUUUUUGCGUGUGGUGCGCGUGCGGACGUGGGUGGGUGGGUGUUCGUGUUGGUGUCGGUGUUCUUGUGGAUGGUCUUGGAACUUGGAACAUGGGUUGUUAUUUAAAUCCAGUCUCAAUUAGUCGAAAUACCGCAGACUAUAGGCUUUGCGGUUAAACAGUUGGAUCAUCUGUUAAUGUGUUUGCUUUCAAUUUGUCCAUUUGACAUUUAAUUACCCAUGAAUUGCUUUUCUAAUAACUUCCUUUCUUUUUUACUUCCGGAUAUUGUUUAAGCCGUCUCUGUCAGUUCCUUAGACUUCGUGACGUUUCAGAUACCGUUAUGUCCCUUAUUUCUCUGCAGCUGUAAUACGGUCUGAUGGCUUUGAGUUUCUCAAAGAGAAUUGUCCCUCACUGCAGUCGGAGCUUCUGAGGACGGUUGCCGGGUGUGAGGAGGAAUGCAGCAGCGGCGGCAAGAGCCAGAGCGUGUGGGCCCAGCUCUCGGAUGGUGGGGACACCAGCGGCCGCAGGGUGAGGGCGAGAAUCUGAUAAUCUGUACAAAUAGGUACCAACAACCUCUCUUGUAUGAAAAUAGACUCAGAUUAUUAAUGGUUGUCCAGGGUGGGGGGAGGGUGAGAAUGGAAUAACAUUGGCCUUGUGUUGUUUGUAAUCUCAUUGUGGACUCUGAUGAAAUGCCGCACUUAUUCACCGAAGGUGAGUGUAUAAGUAGCUAGGCCGCUGGAUCUUUCCUAAUACAAAAUGACUCCUUUAUUAUCUGUCGCUGUUGAUGGCUUCUAAAGAGGCUACCCUUCUCGCGGCGUGACCGUUGCUGCCGCUGAGAGGUUGCAGUUGCAGGUGAUAGCCUGCGCGACAUGGGGGCGGCACUGCUGCUGCAAGCUGUAAGCUGUGCGUAGUAAGUACUGGAUGGGGGUUAAUGACUUGUUGAUAUUGUUAGAUCCCUCGAGGUAGUCGUUUGCAUGUUUCUUCUAUACAACAUUCAACAAGAGCAAGUUUUUCAACAUUUUGUGGUCAUUUGCUACUACAGUUUGGCACUCUCGGCCUUCCGCACGGUUGUGUUAACUAGUGUUCGUCAUAUAGAGCAAAUUCAUCGUGUGGUGUUCUCGCCUACGUCGAGAGAGGUAGCCUCCUGAUAGUUUUAAGCAAAUCCCGUAUCACACCUCUCUCAACUGUCAGGCGCUAACAAGUCAUUGUCUGGCCUUAGCCAUGAGCCGCGUGUCUGAACUGUCUUUCAUCCCAUUCAUCGUCUCAAAUAGUCGUCAAAUCUCAAUCGCCGCCUAAGAGUGAGGUACGGCACUUCCAUUUUUACGAGCUGUACUUUCUAAGAAGGGAAUUAAUAUUGCCUAUCCAUAGUCAAAGUACAAUAAAAUAAAAUCAAAACAAGAUAUAAUAUAUUUACUCGCGUAGUAUAAAAUCUAGCUUUGACGAUAUUAAUUCUCAUAAUUUAAGAAAAGACUAGCAAAGUGUGCUUAUAAUGCAUGUAAGAUGUUUAAAAUAAAUAAUUUAUUUUUUAAAAAAUAAUUCAGAUCGUGAUGUUUUUAUAUAAUCAAUAAUUUUUAUAUAGAUCAUUAAUGAAUUUCAUAAUUUUUAAAACUUUAUUAUAGUUAUAUAAAAAUAGUUUAAAAAAUUCUUGUUCUAAGCUGGGUGAAGAGAAUUUUUAAUUGUUUUAAGAAAAAAUAUAAGGAGAUAAUAAUAUUUUUUAUUUAAAAAUCGAAGAAGAUUUUCCUAUGUUCCUAAAAGGAUGUGACUGUAUAUUUAAUUCUUUAAUUUAAAAGAAUAAAUAAAUUGGAGGGAUAUUAUUUAUUUAAUACAUUAAUUUGAAGACAAGUGAAAUAUAUAUCAAUUUACAUACUAAAAUUGAUCCAAGUAAUAUUUAUAAUCAAACAAUAUCUAUAAUCAAUAGAAUAGUCUUUAUAAACUAACCCCCUAAACUGUUUUUGCUUGAGACAUGUUAACUAUUAAUUUUACCAAAUAAAUAAAAAUUAAAUCAAAAAUUUUAAAUCUUAAAUAUAAAAUUUCAAAUAUAGAUUAACAAAAUACUCUAUAACAUUGAAUAAUAAUAUAUUAGAUAACUAACAAAUAAAAAAUUAGAAAGAUAUCAAUUAAAAAAAUUAAUAAAAGUUGGAAAUCUGAUUAAAAAUUGCAUAUAAUAAUUAAUACAACUUUUCUAUAUCUUCUCCUCCCCCAUCCUCUCCCCGCACAUCAUGAUAAAAUAUUUGAGAAAUACAUAGAUGAUGAGUAUUACUAUAAGAAAGGUGAAAAAAAAAUAAGUAUUAUAAUAAAAUGAUAGGUGACGAAUAUUAUACAAAAAAAAAAUUAAAAAAACAUAUAGGUGACGAAUAUUACUAAGUGAGAAAAAACAUGAAUAUUAUUAUCACAAAAAAUGAAAGAUACUUUUUAUUUUCAACUGUUGGAUAAAAUUCAAUAAUAAAAAAAUUAAAUUUAUAUUUAAAAAUAAAUUAUUAUUUGAAAUGAAUAGUUGGACAUAAAAAUAUUACUGAAAAAUUAAAGACAAUUUCGAAAAAAAAAAAGGGGUAAAAUUCAAGCUUCUAUAAGUAAUAUAGAUAGAGAUUUAACAGUGAAUGGAAUGUAGGGCAAAUCACAAGGCCUCAACAGGUGAAGUGGUGAACCAGGUCCAGCCAAUAAUUACCCGCACAGUAACAGCUCGGAAUGACGCAUCCCAACGAAUGGCUACUGAUGCUAACAACUUGCGUAACAGCUUAUGUAACUCCUCGUUGAAUUUUUAUUGUGUAAUUUUUGAAAAGAGGUACAAAGAUGGACACUGGUCAAAUAAGUUGAUUAAAUUUAACACCACCUUUUUUCGGGAUGUCUUACACCACAAGCUCAUCCUCAAGGUAAUUGUAUUCAAACGUGAAGUCAGUUUUGAUCCUUUGGCACCUGCAAAAAACCAGCAUGUUAGCAGAGGAAGAGAAAAUUCACCGAUAAUUGACAAGGCAGACAAUUAGAUUAUAUCGUUUAAAAAAAGGGAAAAAAUCUGAUAAUUCGAUCGAAAAUUAGUCAUCGAAAAUCUACGUCUACAUCGAUGAACAUCAGUUGCCCCGAAACAAAAUUCAUUCUCAUUUUAUAUACUAUCUCUAGUUGGUGGAUUGUAAUAGCCACUUUUUCGGUUGUAAGUAGCAAAAUCCUGUAGAUACAACUGUUAAGGAGAUUAACAUACCAUCCGGAACCCUCAUCACUGACAUGGAAAUCAAAGUACACAUAUGACCCCCUCUCAUAUUCAUCGUUUGUAACUUUCGGCUCCUCGUGCCUUUGGAACCACGUGUUGUAUUUCUUGUGGUACCUCCACGAUUGCCUCUUCAGUUCUCUUGCCGCUAAGUACUGCUGAUAUGUGUUCUGCAGCAUUAAUACUAAAUAUGAGUAGUGCGACCCAAAUGAUCUUGGCUUAAAAGGUCGCUAUCUUUACAAAGGAGUUCAGUUAAGAUGGAUUCAAGAAACCUGUUGAUAGUAAAAUGCAAAGAAGAGUGUAUCUGUGCCUAUCGGAUCAAUUCCUAACCGUUCCCAGAAAGCACCAUUGGAAACAAUUGGGGCCUGGGUUUGAGGAAAGCUAGACGGAGUAACUGCAGGAUGCCUCUGCAGAUGCAGCCAAUCAACUUAUAAGAGACAAUAAUAGAGGAGUUACACAUAUACCUCCGCAAAAUCAUUGCUUACAUAUACGCCGCUGUAAUCCUCUUGUAUGUCCACUUUAAUACAUAAUUUUUGAAAGGCGUGUAUGAAAAUCUAGAUUUCGCAGGGACACGUGUAAAGGACAAUUUUGCAGGGUAUUGGAUAAUAAACCUACAAAUAAUAUGCAAAUUAGCAAUUAGAAAGGAAAGCAAACAGUACCGGCACAUAGCUUUUCAAACGUUCCGAGUCUUUUGGUUGCGGAAGUUUAUAGUAGGCAGAUUCAAGCAUCUGCAUGUUAUAGAUGUUAUCAUGCAUUCCACCAGAACUACCAGAUUGGCCGCUGAUGUUAUCUCCUAUUGUACCAAGGUCUGAGACGCUUCUUCUGCCGAUGACCCCAAGGCUACCUGAUUGCUGACUAGGUUGUAGUGGCUGGCCAGGUGAGAUGUCAGUAUCUCUGGUUAACUGAUUGCCUUCUGUCACAGAGGUAGAACUUGUAUUCUGCAAAAAAGUAGAAUACGAAAAACAUUUUGCUAUAAAGCAAUCACACAGAAUUAUAAAUAAUUCCUAAUGAAGGACAAGCACUGAACUUCUUUGACUUGCAUGCAUUCUUAAAAAUUAUAAAUGUUGCCUGUAUUUGAAUUUUGUCCUUUUAAUUUCAAUUGUAAACUUUAGUCCCUUAAGUCUUAAAGUGUUUUUAAAUUUUCUUUCACCCUUUUUAAGGAAGACCCCUUUAAGGCCACAGCUGUUUCUGCACAAUAAGUCCUUCCAUGAGUAUACAGUCUAAAAAGUGCCACAUCAGCACCAUCAUUAGACUAUGCAAUGUUAAGAUUGAAACUCUGAUGGCGAGAGUAAAACUAAUGUCAAACUUUGUGGAUCAAAGUAAAAUCAAGGUCAAAAGUUCAGGUUUAAAAUUACAAUAAUAUGGACUAAAUUGUUUUUGUAAUCAAACUUCGAAAUCAAAAUUGUUGAAUUUGAAAAUCAGAGGAAGAAAUUAAAACCAGGAUAUAACUGAGGGAAUAAAUUUAUAACUAUACUAACAUCUUUUACAUCUCAGAUUUUGUUUUAGCAGCUUCUAAAGAGAUUCUUACUAAAGAGAUCAAAAAAGAAUUAAAAUGCAAAAUUUAUUUCUGUAUUUGCAGAAAGAUAUGGGCAUUAGUAAAAGAGCAUUCCAAAAGAAGUAUUUUUCAUCGGCAUCAGAUCUAGAAAUAUACGUUGCAACCUACUCUAAAUUUAAAUAGGAACAAAUCACUCUAAGACCACAAUCAGAAGGCAGAUUAUUUGAUAUAUACCGCAUAUUGUGUCUUCGAAUCAUCCUCACUAAUGACUUUGCUAAGUCCAGAACUCGCACCAGUUUCGGCAUUCAAAUCAUCAGUCGGUCCCUGCUGCUCUUCUGUUUUCGUAUGCCCAGCAUCUGCUGGAAAAUUGCACAAAGAUUGGAAUACAAAACAGGUAGAGAUCGCAGAAAUAAAAUCUAUAUAUACCUCCAUCUUUUGCCCCAGUUGAAAUCAAGGUGUGCUGACUGGAUUGUUGAAGAAUUGGGCUUGGCUGCUGUUGUGAGACUGAUGGAAUGGAAGCAAGACCUGGCCCCUGCACACCAAGUCCGAGGCUCAUUUGAGGUGACAUGGAUGGGCUCUGAGAAUUAAACUGGACAAAGAAUUAGAAGUCAGCAGUCAGCAACUUGAGAGAGAGAGAGAGAGCUUAGAUCAAGAUAGGAAAAUAAAUAAAUAAUAACUUGCAACAACCCCUGCACACACACCCAAAAAAAAAAAAACAAAAUCCAAGUCUUUCUGCAAAAAGUAACUUCUUAAGGUAAUUUAAUAGUAUUGGGUAAAGUAAUUAUAGAAUCUAAAAGAGAAAAGCGAGAACUAUGUGAAAGUCAAAACAUUGCAGUCCGAUACCAGAGACUCGAGGAAUAUCACAUUCGGGAUGUAAUGGUUAAGUGACUAUGACUCUGGUAUAUAGUUGAUCACUUGCUUAACUUGAGGAUAAACUAGUAAAAGUUACUGCUCAAAACCCUUUUGCUUGUUAAGUAGCUAAAGGGGUAAGCCAAAACCAUUAUGCUGGCCAUUACAAUGUCAUGGUCGGUACCUGGGCUUUUUUUGCAAUUAGCCCCCUGAAAAAAAUUUAUUUUAAAAAUAGCCCCAACAAAUUUAAAUUUGCAAAAAUGGCAGUGACCCUGCCACGCAGGCGCCACGUCAACGCCAUGCGGGCGGGGCUGGGCCAGAUAGUUAAAUUAAACACGGUGAACCAUUUACCGUGUCUAAACACGGUGAAUGGUUCACCGUGUCUAAGGAAAGAAAAGGGAAAGAAAAGGGAAAGAAAAAAUAUACGUAUUAUGAAAAAGAUAAGUAUGGAACACGGUGAAUGGUUCACCGUGUUCAACUUAAGAACCCAACCCGUCCGUGUGGCGCUGAUGUGGCGCCUAUAUGGCAAGGUCAUGACCAUUUUUGCAAAUUUAAAUUUGCUGGGGCUAUUUUUAAAAUAAUUUUUUUUUCAAGGGGCUAAUUACAAAAAAAGCCCUCUGGACCUUUUUUUCUCUUCUGAAUCAUUACUUUAAUCACAUCAUUGCAUAGCUUUGGACCAAAAAUAUUUCAAAUUACGUUUGUCAGGAAAAGGGAAAAGAACUAUUGUAACAGCUCUACCACAAGUAAAACAAAUGCAAGAUUUUCUUCAAAACUACAAGACCUUUUAGUAUGGAAAAAGAUCAAACAAGAAAAGAACCUGUUGCAAGAGUGAGCUUUGCUGCUGUGUAGAAAACUGCUUCUGAUUCAUACCAGGGAUUUGAGGAACGUUAAGAAGGUUACUGUGAUUUUGCUGCUGCACUUGUUGCAAGCGCUGCAAAAACUUUUCCCUCUGGUCUGGAGCAAUCUCAGGUCUUCCACGAAACUGGCCCUGGCACAAGAUCAUCAUCAACAUGCCUCAAAUGAUAUAAUGUCGAGGGCUAGUAAGGCAUCUAUAAGUUGCCACUUUAAAACCUCUCUUACUUCCACACCAAAAAAAAGGGGAGAAAAGUCUCCCAAUCUGUUUUAGCUAGGAUUUUCAGGCAAGGAGAAAAGGUCACACACAAACAGAAGAGGUUCAGUUUCUGUUCAAAUAUAAAUGCCAAAUAUAAGUCCACUAUCAGAGCAUGCUGAAUAUUCAAAGUUCAUUGUCCUCGAUAUUAUAGCCACCAAAAAUCAGUUUUAUAUCCAAUUAACCUGGAAUCACAUGUUAAACAAUUAUUAUUAACAUGAAACAGGAACUUUACUGAAAAGAACAAAAAAAACACUAGACUCAACUGAUAACACAUGGUCUAGACUAUUCUAAAUAUCAGCACAGAGAGAAAUUAUAAUGCAUUAAAGAGAAAAGAUGUAUGAAGCAAAUGGGCUUCAAAUUUCUGCGUCACAAUAAGAAUGCUUACUGUUUCAUUUUGGAAACCAGAUGCACUCUGUGGUCUCCAUUGAACACCAGAAGCAACUCCAGGUGAAAAGACUCUUCCUCCAAUGACAGAACCCUCGCCAACAUUAUUCGUGUCAUUUGACACAGUACCAUCAUUGGUUCUUGAAACCUGUUGCAAUAAUAUUCUAUUUCCUAGAGGUGAAACCAAUGGUUGAUCAACAUUCAGCAUAUUUCUCUUCAUUAAGUCAGACACUGCAGGGACUGAACCAAUCGCUCCGGUUCCAGAAAUUCCACUAGCUGUACUUAAGUUCAUCGGAGCACUAAUAUUAGUCUGAUUGGAUAUUCCUCGAGCCAUACCCCUCCCUAUUCCUAUUUCAGGGAUACCAGGAGAUGAUCUACGGCCAGGGAAAGUCACGUUAUCAUCUUCUUUUGCAGUAGCGGAUGGGUUAACAAGAGAUGAAGUAGCAACAGCAGAUGUGCUCUCUGAAACACCCCGAACACUUGCAGGACCAGAGAGUAUAGCUGCUACCGUCGGCGUUCCGACCAGUGGGCGUGCGGUGGUAGAAGCGACAGUGGGAAUAGGUGUCCCAGUGCUGAUACCUGGGGAAGCUGCUCCCAUAGCAGCACUUUUCAGAGGUGGUGGUGUUCUUGGUACUGCAUCAGAACUGCUGUCCAGAGAAGCUGUUUCCUCGCCUUGGUCGUUACUGGUACUUUGUGACGCAGUUGACGAAAGAGCAGCCUACCGGAAAGAAUGUGUGUUGGAUUAAAUAAGUAAUUAAUUUUCAGGUGCAGAAUGUAUAGAGGAGCAAAACGGAUAAAGCUUAAAAUGCUAUUGCCAGAAACAGAAGAGUGAUCUGGCAGUUUGAGAUUUUUGCCAAAACAACGAAAAGGUAAAUGUCCUGGGUACUAUAUUAGUUUCUUACAAUUGUGUUUGGAAUUCUUAAGGUAAUGAAAGAAACCUGAUUAGGCGAACUGGCUGCUGAAUUCUUCAAACCUAAAACUGAACUAGCAGUAGAAACAGAACCAAUACCCUACAAAGCAAGGAAAUAUGAUAGAACGAUAUGUGACUAGUUUUUCAGGUAUAAGAAACCAUCAUCAUCCAUGAAGGAGAGCAACCAAAAAUUUUAAAAAAGAAAAAAAAAUCUAGAUAAAUAGCAGAAACUUAGAAAUGAAGAGGCUUAACAUAAAAAAUGAACUUCUUUGGUGACUGAUUCAAGAUAGUACUACUUACGAAAAAAAGCUAAUGUUUAUAAUUAAUUAAUUGAAUGAAAGGUUAGGUAGUUGUUUCCAAAUGGCCCAAAUUCAGAUUAGUUCUGUGCAUUUCAUUCUGUGCAUUUCACCGAGAAUUUAAUUAAAGAAUGAGUAGAAUGAACAAUAAAUCAGCAUUACUUUAAUAAGACCGGAAGGACCAAGGGAAACCAGGUCUUCUAGUGCUUCAACCUUUUCCAAAGGUAAUGAGCUAUAGAGCUCAUCAACAUCACUGAAUUCCUCAAAAUCCUCCUGCAUAGAUUUCAAACUUUGAUAAAAGUCAAUAUCGGCAUUAAGGAGGCAAUGUGGUAUAAAAUGUUAAAAAACUUUUACAUAUGAGAACAGAAGAAAAUUUAGAAAAAUUUGUAUUACACAUUGCAGAAAAUAUUUAAGAAGUCAAGGUACCUGAUUACGUUCAACAUAAUCUUCUAGAAAAUCUUUUAUAUCAUUGACUUGGUCAGGACUUAAUUCAUCAUUUUCUAACAGCCUCAAAAUCAGCUCCAGUUUCUUGAUAUGCGCCUUAUGCCUUGUAAUAGAAGUCUCCAAAUGUACCUGUAAGGAAAAGAUUAUUCUACUAAAUUAUACAUAAAUAAACAAAAGAUAAAAAGAAA
rnacentral:lncRNA from 1 species